rnacentral:lncRNA from 1 species
GAUAAAAACAGUGAAUAUGUGUUCGGUAACAUUAUUUUCAAAAAUAAUUUUUACUAAAUAUUUAAGUCAUAUUUAUGAAUAAAAAGUAAUUGUUUAACUAAUACAUACACAACCAUUCCAUAAAUAGUUUAAACAAAAUAAUGAUAAAAAAUUACAUGAUAAUAAAAUUUGAGUAUCAUCAUUAAUUAAAAAAAUGGAUUUAUGAAAAGGAUGGUAACAGCUCAACACGUCUUUGAUUUUGAUUCCUUUCGCCUUCCUUCUGCGGUCUACCCCCAGUCCCCACAGAAAAUAUUUUUGCUCUUUCCCCCCAAAAAAAAUAUAUAUAUUAUUUAUGAUUUUUAAUAAACCAAUCUCCAAGCCAACGAAAUAGACACACGCAGCACGUUGUAUGCUAACAUCUCAAUCAAACAAGGCUUCCGAGAAUUAAAGUUUUGAUCGGUCUUCUUUUACCCCCCACUAAAAGCACGAGGUUAAAUAAAAAUAAGGCAAUGUUGUUGGAUCAGUCCCCUGUCGAAUCUCUCACUCCACUUACUUGUUUUAAACUUUAUUUAAUUUAACAACCACCAAAUAAAAAAAGGCAAUUGUAAAUUCGUGAUUCCGUUAAACCCAGAAGCAUCCACUGUGGAGUAGCAGCAGCACCAGUCGAGACAGAGCAGAGACGCAGCACCACCAGCCGAGACGGAGCAUAGACGCAUCAGUAGCAGCAUCACCAGUUAUUCCUCAAGAGAGACGCAACAGCAGCAGCAGCACUAGUUGAUCCUUAAAAGAGAAGCCGUAGCAGCACCACUACCACCAAUCGAGAGAAGCUGGGACACGGCAACAGUCGAUUCUGGUUGAAGAACCGUGAUGGAGAAGGAGACAGCUGUGACGAAUCGUGGUUAAAGAACUCUGAGAGAGAGAGAGAUGUGAAUUUCGAUCUGGAUAAGGAGAUUAGGCUUGGGUUUUGUUUUGCAAUUUCUUUUGUGAUAUAAUUUGUGAUUCAUCUGAGACACGUUCUCAGUUUUAUAACAAUAAAAAAGAAUAUGAAUUAUUUGUUUUAUAAUUCAUUUUUAGAUCCAGCCCACCGAACAAGAAUUACAUAUGUACUCUCAAAACAAAAAUGAAAACAGGGCCCUGAAAAUGAUACCGAACAGGCCAAAAUUCUGAUAGAACCCCUUCUUUCCCUAUAUAAUUGAAAUUACCAAAACAACCAAGACAAUUUAAGUGAUUUUUAAUUUUGAAUGUAAAUCCAAUUAAAUAAGUAAAUUCAAAUUUUCUUUUAAAAAACUUUUUACAUCCACAUCAUUUCAUAAUUUACAUUUACAUUUUAGUUUUUAAUAAAAAAAAUUUGAGAAAAUUAUAAGAGUUUAGAAUUAUAGAGAUAGAAAUAUAUUAUAGGGCAAAACUGCGUUGCAUUCGCGGGUUUGAUACCCUUUUCUUUUGUCUUUUUCAAGGUCAAUUACAAUAAAGUCAUGCUAUUAGUUAUAAAAACAAAAAAACUAAAAAUUUUUAAAUUUUCACACAUUAGUCCUGCACCUAAAGAUUUUCAAUUGUAUUAAUGCUUCUAGAAGCCAUGAUUUGUUUAGAAUUCAAGCACUUAUUCUCUUUAUACACACAAACACUAGUAAAUUAAAAGAAAUUUUUUUUGAAUUAUUUAAAUUAUUUUAAAUAAAAGAAAACUAAGGAAAUAUUUAAAUUAUUUUCAAAUAGAAUAAUUAUUUAGAAUUUUUUUACUGAAAGAUCUCAACCAUAUGGACGUGUGCUAAUAACUAUUUAAACUGUUGGGGUAGAGUAACAAAUAUUAAUUUAUUUAAGUGUGCAAUUAAAUUUAUUAUUUUAUUUAAGGACAAAAACUCAACCAAAAAUGCAAACUCAUUGUUCAAACAAACAAAAAUUAUUUUGCAAAUUCAUAACUAACACUUGAUUAUUAUUAGUAAAUUAACAUAUUUUUACUACAUAAUUAAAUAAUUGAUAAUAUGUUAAAUAAAUCUUAUGUUACCAAAAAAAAAGUAACUACAUAGAAUAUCAAAUUAAAUUUAUUUUCAUAUUUUGUACAUUACAUUUACUUGAGAUAGUAAAAUCUCUUGUGUUGGAAUAAAAAAGAUUAUGGGGUUUGAACCUUGGUCACAUGAGUGAGAGAAAAUUGGUUGCCGUUAUGUUAAAUUAAAAAAAUAAUUUUAUAUUUAUCAUUAAUUAUGGUUCGUAAAUAAUAAACAUAGUUUAACUAUAUAAUAAACUAGUUAAUUUUUUAAUUAAUAAGUAAAUUUAUUAAUUUAAAUAGAUAUUAAUACAUGUAAGAGUAAGUGAUUUAAUUGGAAAUCUAGUUCAAUAGUGUAAUAUAUAUAUAUAUAUAUAUAUCAUAAGCUGAGGGGAUUUUGUAAUGGAACUCAUCCAUUGUUUUACUUGGUCCUCUGAGGAGAUGGUUUUAUAUUGGGCUUCAUGUUCUUCAACCAUUUUAAUCCAGGACUUGAUAGACAUGGUAGAAGAAAGCAAUUUUUCUUUAGAAGGAGUUGGUUGAGGUUCUUUAGAAGUGGCUUGGGACUCAAUGUCUUUAAGAACAACUUUACCUUUAUCCUUCUUCUUUGGCGGUAUUAUCUGUUUUGAAGAAAUUAUCUGGUUAGAAAAUCAGGAACAGAAUUUUUAUCCCCUUUAAUGAAUUCAAUAUCGAAAUCAAAAACACUUAAAAUGGCUUGCCAUCUUGUAAAAAUUUAUUUUGAACAUCUUUUUUCAAAACAUGUUUUGGAGCUUUGCAAUCAAUUCUAAGUAAAAAUUUUUGAUUUAAUAAAUCACUUUGGAAUUUAGAUAUGCAUAAAACAAUAGAAAGAAUUUCUUUUUUGAUAGUAGAAUAAUUUUUCUGGCAAUCAUUCCAAUGUGCAGAAACAUAUUGUACUAUCUGUUCUUUAUCAUUUUCUUUUUGUUUUAAUAUACCUCCAUAUCCUAAAUCAGAUGCAUCAGUCUCAACGAUUUUAGGUAAUGCAUGAUUUGCAAGAUAUAAACAUGGAAUGCUUUUAACAGAAUUCUUUAUGAGCUUAACUACUUUGGUGUGCUCGUCAGUCCAAGCAACAUGAUUUUUCUUUAAUCUAUCAUGCAAAGGUUUGGACAACCUGUUAAUAUUAGGACAGAAAUCAAGAACAUAAUUUAGGCUUCCUAGAAACCUCUGUAAUUGAGUUUUAUCUAGGAUUUUAUCAGGAAAUUUAUCUGCAAAGACAAGGGAACGCUCAAUAGGAGUGAUGGUUCCUUUGGAAAUGUGAUGACCUAGGAACCUGAUUUUUGUUUGAAAUAAGGAAACUUUGGAACUAGAAAUGACUAAUCCAGCUUUCCUAGUGGCUAAGUAAAAAGUCUUUAAGUGUUUGAAAUGUUGGUCGAUGGUUUGAGAGAAAAUCAAAACAUCAUCUAUAUAGACAAUGCAAAACUCAGAAUAAGGGUUAUAAAUAUCAUUCAUAAUUCUUUGAAAUUCUGAUGGUGUAUUUUUCAAACUAAAAGGCAUAACAGUUCACUCGUACUGUCUAAAAGGAACAUUAAAAGCAGUUUUGUACCGGUCAUUUGGAUGGAUUUGAAUUUGCCAAAAGCCUGACUUCAUGUCAAAUUUUGAAAAUAUGAAAGCAGAAUGCAGUUUUUGAAGCAAAUCCUUUUUAUUAGGUAUUGGGUACCUAAUCCAUUUUAAUGCUUUAUUAAGGGGUUUAUAAUUAAUGACCAGUCUUGGUGUUCUUCUUUCAAUUUCAGAAUUUUUAUUUACAUAAAAAGCAGCACAAGACCAAGGAGAUCUGAAUUUCACAAUGAGUCCUUUAGACUCUAAAUCUUUGAUCUCAAUUUUACAAUGUUGUUCUAAAUCCAUGUUCAUUUGGAUAGGACGGGCUUUAGUGGGAAUUUGUUUUUCAUCAAAAGAAUUUUCAUAGGGUAAAUCUACCAAGUGUUGUUUUCUAUUCCAAAAAGCAGAUGGUAGAUCAGCACAAAUUUCUUUUUCAAUAAGAGCUUUGAAAUCAGAAAUUUUCUUUUGUAUGAAAUCAUUUUGUAAUUGGCUUUCGAUUCUUUGUAAACUUAAAUCCUUUUGUAAAAACACUAAAUCAUUUUGUCUUGAACGAAGAAGAUUAUUGAUUUGGUUCUGAUAAAUAGAACAAGCUUUAACAAUAUUCAAAUUCCUUGUUUUUGGCUUUUCAAUAAAUGGGAAAACAAAUUUUUCAUCUUUUGCUUUGAAAAAUAUACUAUCGUAAUUGACAGUAUAGGGAGUAAUGAGAUUUAUAAAAGGAGUUCCCAGAAUGACAGCAUGGUGUAUGUCAUUUGUAAGUACAAAAGAAGUUCUAAAUUCAAAACCAUUGUUAUGAAUUGAAGCUUCAACUUUAGAAUUAACUUUAAGUUUCGAAUUGUUGGCUGCAGAAAGCCUUUCUUUUGUUUUCUCAUGAAAUCUUUUGGGGACAAUGUCUUCUCUUAUGCAAUUCAAAUCGGCACCAGUAUCAAAAAGAGCAAUGGCGUCAAUUGCAAAAUCAUCAGAAAAAAUUAGGGUAAUUUUAAUUAAAUAUUUUCUCAUAGUGAUUUGCUUUAAAACAAAUAGAAAAUCAUUAGGUACAGACUCAAUGUUUUCUAGAUUUUAAGUCAGAUCUGCAUCCAAAGGCAGAUUAAGUUCUGCAUCAAUAUGGAGAACAACGCCACGUACUUCAAUAAUUCGCACGUUCGGUUAAUUUGGUCUUUAAUACUGAAUUCCACCAAUGAUGAAACCAGUUUGGGAGGCUUUGAACGGUUAUUUUUGAAUUGAAAAAAAAUAACCAAGAGUGAGAUUUUUUGGGGUUUUGGAUAAAAAAUGUGUUAUACCAGGCUUGUUGGUAAUCCCAGUAGGAAAAUGUCCGACAAUGUGGUAAACAUGUUUGAAAAUUUAGAGGGAAAGUUUUAAAAUUGUGGAGUAAGUCACCCCACUGGUUUGGGCUCAAGACUUUUAAGAUAGUAGCCGUGGAAUAGGCUGGCUCUGAAUGGGUUUCACUAAGAAAGAAAUGUUUGAAUUUAACUGACUCAGUAACUUCUAAAAUGCUUUGAUAGUAAGACUGGAGUUUUGUUAAAUCCCAUGGUUUGAAAAACCAGCCUUUAGGAAUUUUUUUUGAUAUAUAUAUAUAUAUAUAUAUUAUGGACUUUUAUGUCAUAAUUAUAAAACUUUUGAUUUUUCGUAUUUUACAUGAACAAGAGGGGCCUUUAAUGUUAAUAUCCUAGAAUCAAAUCUAAGCCAUUAUGCAAGUCUUGCGUUGUAUCCAACGGUGAGUUUGAAAAAGACAAAAAAUGGGGCACCAAACCCCAGAGGCAACGUAGCUGGACCCUAUAUUAUAAGAAGAAAAUAAUUAGAGAAAACGGUAGGUUUCUAAAAAUGGGCUCGUUUGGUAUUGUUUUUGAAUUUAUAUUUUUUGAAAAUAAAAAUGAGAAUGAAAAUAGUAUUUUAUAGGUGUUGUAUUUUGAAUUUAAGUAUGCGUCUGGUAUAAUUUUUUAUAUCCUAUAUUUUAAAAUUGAAAACAAUAAUAUGCAUUUGGUAGACACAAUUGAGAGGAUAAAAACAGUGAAUAUGUGUUCGGCAACAUCAUUUUCAAAAUUUUUUUUACUAAAUAUUUAAGUCAUAUUUAUGAAUAAAAAGUAAUUAUUUAACUAAUACAUACACAACCAUUCCAUAAAUAGUUUAAACAAAAUAAUGAUAAAAAAUUACAUGAUAAUAAAAUUUGAGUAUCAUCAUUAAUUAAAAAAAUGGAUUUAUGAAAGGAUGGUAACAGCUCAACACGUCUUUGAUUUUGAUUCCUUUCGCCUUCCUUCUCCGGUCUCCCCCCAGUCCCCACAGAAAAUACUUUUGCUCUUUCCCCCCAAAAAAAAUGUAUAUAUUAUUUAUGAUUUUUAAUAAACCAAUCUCCAAGCCAACGAAAUAGACACACGCAGCACGUUGUAUGCUAACAUCUCAAUCAAACGAAAUAGACACACACUAGUUGAUCCUUAAAAGAGAAGCCGUAGCAGCACCACUACCACCAAUCGAGAGAAGCUGGGACACGGCAACAGUCGAUUCUGGUUGAAGAACCGUGAUGGAGAAGGAGACAGCUGUGACGAAUCGUGGUUAAAGAACUCUGAGAGAGAGAGAGAUGUGAAUUUCGAUCGGGAUAAUGAGAUUAGGCUUGGGUUUUGUUUUGCAAUUUCUUUUGUGAUAUAAUUUGUGAUUCAUCUGAGAACGUGUUUAACACGUUCUCAGUUUUAUAACAAUAAAAAAGAAUAUGAAUUAUUUGUUUUGUAAUUUAUUUUGGAACCAGCCCACCGAACAAGAAUUACAUAUGUACUCUCAAAACGAAAAUGAAAACAGGGCCCUGAAAAUGAUACCGAACAGGCCAAAAUUCUGAUAGAACCCCUUCUUUCCCUAUAUAAUUGAAAUUACCAAAACAACUAAGACAAUUUAAGUGAUUUUUAAUUUUGAAUGUAAAUCCAAUUAAAUAAGUAAAUUCAAAUUUUCUUUUAAAAAACUAUUUACAUCCACGUCAUUUCAUAAUUUACAUUUACAUUUUAGUUUUUAAUAAAAAAAAUUUGAGAAAAUUAUAAGAGUUUAGAAUUAUAGAGAUUAUAAGAAGAAAAUAAUUAGAUUUUAAGACUUGCAUGUGUUUUAUAACACAGAAAGUUAAAAAAAAAAAAAAAACUUUUAGAGUGAAAUUUUAUGGGAUCAUGGUUUAAUUUAACAGUAUAUGAAUUUGUAUUUUAUAAAUUAAAAUAGGACAUUUUAGAAAAUAAAAUUUAGAAAGGGUGCUAUAAAGAUUUUAGAGCGGAGUCAAAAACUCUCGUACUCUUGAAAAACAAAGUGGAGGGGAGCUUGAAUGCCAAGAAGAAAAUACAAGUGAAUGUAAAAAAUAGAAAAUAAUGAUUUAAAAAUCGACAACAGUACUGCAACUACAAAGCAUAAAUAAUUAACAUCUAUUUCACGGAAAAAAGAGAAUAACAAUCAAAGUUAAUAAAACAGAGAAUAGAACAAAGCAAAUAGAAAAAUAUGUCAAAGUCAAUAAAACAGAAAAUAUUUAUUGACUACAUAUACACGAAAACUCAUUCAGCAAAUCAUUUAUUACAAAUCAGAAACUCCAACAACAUGCAUAAAAUACAUGAUUUAUUUGGUCUAAUCUAUUCAAACAAGGUGAAGAAUAUUAGGGAUGGCAAUGGGGAGGGGACCAAUCUCCCCGUACCCAUCUCCAAUAUUUUACGUAUGUCCCCGUUCCCUCCCCGUCCCCGUCAAAAUGAUUUAAGAGAAUCAUCAUCCCCUUCCCGAAUAAUAACAGUGGAUCCCCGAGGAUCCCCGAUCCUCGAAUAACUAAUACAUUUUUUUUGUUUUCGAUUUUGAGUUAAUCAUAUUAAAAUAAAAAAUUCAAAUAAAAGUAAAGUUCGAAAUACAUCUUACAUUAAUAUCCAUUACAAAAGUCAUAUACAUUAAAUUAGUAAGUAACGCAGCAUGCAAGUGAUACAAACUAUCAUGAACAAAUUAAUAACCUAAUACAAAAUUGUUACAAAUAAAAUCAAAUUUAGAUUCAAAAUUAACUUUUCAAUGGUGGCGUGGGCACUUUACAAAUGUGGACUAUUCCCUUUACAACACAAUAGUUAAGUCAAAGCAAAUCAAAAGCAAAUAUUAGAUUAUAUUAGAUAUUAAAAUUUUGAUUUGUUGUGGGCAAUUAUAACAUCUAAAAAUAAAUAAAAAAUAGAUUUAAGAUAAAUAAAAAAUAGAUUUAAGUUUAAAAUAUUUAAUGAAUAUUAAAAUUAAAACAAAAUUUUUGGGCUAAUAGAAUCUGUCCGGUCUUUUUAAUGUCCUAAAUAAAAAUUUAGGACUUUAAUUAGUUAAUUAGGCUUAAAAGUUUAAUAACAUUAAUAUUUUGAUAUUUUUUAUUUUUACCAAUACUUAUAAUUUUAUAAUUCAAAUUUUAUUAUUUAUUUACUAGUAAUUUUAAAAAAUAAAAAUUAAAUUAAAAAUUAAAAUGGGGAAAUGGGUAGGGGAUGGGGAUUCCACCUCAUCCCCGUCCCCUCCCCGAAUAAGAAAUUGGGUAAAAAAAUUUCUCCGUCCCUUCCCUGAAUAAGAUAUUGGGUAUGAAAUUAUCCACAUACCCUCCCCGAAUGGGGAAAAUCUCCGAGGAUACCCGUCCCCGUGGGGAUUUUUGCCAUCCCUAAAGAAUAUUUAUCAUUCGAUCCUAUAUGGCACGCACGCUGUAUCCAUAGCUGGCAUGCGAAAACUUAAAAAAUUAAUAGAAAAGAGAAAUUAGAUUUCUAAAUUAUGAAAAUUUUAUAGGAAAGGUCUAAAUGAAUAAAAUUAGGAUUUUGAGUCUUUUUUAUACUAACUGUAUUAUUGUGAAUAUACUAAAAUUGAAAAUUCUGAAAUAUUAUUUAAUAAUCAAAUUCUCCUAAUCUAAAUAAGGAAACCAAAAGAAAUGGUACCCAAUCCGAUAUCUAAGAAAAAAAAAAAUCCUAAAAAGAUAAAAUCCUAAUAGUAACAAGAAAAAAAAAAAAAAAAAUAGCUUAAACUUGGAGAAUAACCAGGAAAAGAAACAAAAUUUUCUACUCAACCAACAGGAUGGCAUAAGUGAUUUUAAUUUUAUUCAUCUCAUUGGAGGUUUCAAAACGGAAUAUCACCUAUAACACAAACUAUAACUUUCAGAAGAUACCCUACUAAUCUUAUGCAACCAUCCUACAUCAAUAGCUUGUCUAAUUAAUUAAUCUCUAUUUUUCUUUCUUGAAGAAAGUGGGGGGAAGCUUUGUUCAUUCCUGAAGAAAUUACCAGCGUCAACCAUAGUCUUCACAUGAACCAAUCUGUUAAAAUUUUUAUUGAAAUAUUUAAGACCCCAAAUGCUAGCUUGUUUGUAGCUUGUGUAGCCUUUGUUAUUCGUUCCAAUGUCAAGAUCCCGGCAAUUCACAUAUGCAGCUCUCGGAUUUUUUGAAACAUAGGGAGCCAUGUAACUGUAAAGUCUUCUGAUCCAAUUAAUGUGCCUUUGAGAUGCUUCACUACCUUCUUCUUCCCAGCGCACCAUGUGCUGAAUUUUGUAUAUGGUGCCUGCUCUAUACGGGAAUGGAGUUUCGAAAUCUGAAAUCUCAUUCAUUAUUCCGCCAUAGGGAGUGAAGCUUAUUUCAGCAUCCUCCGCUUCUUUUUCAUAAAACUUUUCGUAUAUCCCCAGGAAUGCAAUUUCAGGAAUAGGUUCCUUCACGAUAUCAGAUUUGGCUUUGAAAAAUCUUACGUUGGGUUGAGUUCUAUUAAGCAAAACAUCCAAAGAUCGUCCUCGGAACCCCGCAAAGUGCAUGACUGAUUCAAUCCAGCUCAUUUCAAUGCAGUCUUGUUUCACCAAGCCAAGCUCAGGGAAGCUUUGCUGCAUUAGUGGAAGGAGGGUAUCAGCUCCUCCGAGAAACAAGGAUUCAAAUGAUGCUCGUAUUGUUUUCUUCCCUCGUCUGCUUGAAGUCGCACUGCUUAAGAACACUCUGAUAUACAAAUCUUCAUGGAGUUUAUCUGCAACGUACUGCCAUCUGUCAACGAUCUUGGUAGCAUUUUGUUCCAAGGUUCUAUUGACUAUGAAUGCAGUCACAGUUUCGGGAACACUAACUAGCUUUAUUUUCCAAGCAACGAUCACACCAAAGCUAGCUCCUCCACCUCCCCGGAUGGCCCAAAAUAGAUCUUCUCCCAUCGAUUUUCUAUCGAGUAACCUUCCAUUAACGACAAUCAAGUGUGCAUCAACAACAUUAUCAGCAGCAAGGCCAUACUUGCGCAUCAAGAAACCAUAGCCUCCGCCACUAAAAUGUCCACCAACGCCAACAGUAGGGCAAACUCCUGCCGGAAAAGCAAGAGUUUUGCUUUUCUCAGCGAUUGCAUGGUAAAGUUUGCCAAUUGUUGCUCCGGCUUGAACCCAUGCAGUUUUAGCCUCUGCAUCAACAGUGAUUGAGCUAAGAUUUAUCAAAUCAAUGACGACAAAUGGGACAUGAUGAUUAGAAACAUAAGAAGAACCCUCCUAGUCAUGACCUCCACUUCGAACCCUAACUUGCAUGCCAUAUUUUUGGGAACAUUUAACGGCUGCUUGAACAUGCGAUUCUUUCAAUGGAGUGACAGUGACUUGAGGUUUUGGGGUGGUGGGUGUUGAAAAAUCCAAUAUCGAUGAAAAUGAGGAGUUAUUUCGGGUGUAUAUCACUUUAGAAAUGGAGGAGAAGUUAUCAGAGUGCAUAGAUAGGCAAUGAAGGAAUAAGUUCUCAUCGGGCACUGAAGAAGUUGCAUGAAUGUUGCCAAAAGUAACCCAUCAAUGAUAUGAUAAAAGAAGAACAAAAACAAAUUGGAUGAUAGAAGAGCAAGGAGACUUCAUUUCGGCUGAUGUUUUGGUGCAUAAGAGUGCGUAAGGCUGCCUUAUUUAUGGAACCCCAAAAGCUUAUUUCGUAACAAGCACUCUAAAUUUCUUUGAAUGGAAGUUAACAAACGUCAAUGCGACGGCAAAGCGCAUUAAAUAGAAAGAAACAGGAAAGUGGCUUAUUUUUGUCAGCUAAAAUAUCUCUCUUAAUUUUCCAUUUUCUCUGCACCCCGGUCAGAAGCAAAGCCAGGAUUUUAUUUUAGGGUCGGCUAUUUUUUUUCCCCCCCGAACCGGUUAGAAUCUUCAUACGGCAUAUCACUAUAUGAAAUUCACUAGAAAUUAAAUUGAUCGAUUGCAAGCAUAUCAGUUUGAGCCCCAACCCAUACGCUUCUCGAGAUGGUAAUAGUAGCAAGAAGGGUAAAACGGCAGUUUGACUUUGGUUACAGAUUUUAUUUAUUUUUUAUUUAACGAUUUUAGGAUUAAAAUUAGUUAGUUGAAGAUUUAAUUUUUGCUUAAAAAAUGUUAUAAAAACGUUAAAUUGUAUGCUUAAUUAUCAGUUAUCAUUAUAAAUCCACAAACUAAACCAAAACCACCUAACAAUAAGCUCAACUUGAAAUUUCGAGUGCUAAAUUUCAAUGGCUAAAUGGUCUUUACUUGAUCUAAUAACAAUCUAAUCUUAUACGUUUAAUUUGAAACAUAGCAAUAUGAUGAUGAUGAUCUUCACUUCACUUACAAUUAACAAAUAUCUUGUACAUGAUUAAAUAAAAAAUGAAUUUCUCAUUUCUCAGUCAAUAAAGAGAAAAAUAUAUAUAACAAAUUAACAGUAGAAUAUUGACGUUACAACAAGUUAGUUAACUAUCACUUUUGGGUUCGAAAAUUACGAAAUGCCUUAGACCAAGAAAAAUGAUGAAAAUUCAAAGAAUGAGUGAUAAUGUGUUGAUUUCUUGCCAUGUGAAGGAGAGAACGAAAAUUGAGGAAGAAGCCAAGAAGGGAUUUGGAAAAUGAAGUGACCGUCAGUUUUUUAAAUUUAUAUGGUAGGAAACUUGUAAAUUAUUAGAAUGACAUAAUGGCAUUUAUAUAAAUAAAUUGAAUUUUUUUUCCAAAAUUUUGACGGACCGUAGCCCGUCCUAACCCACGCGUGGGACGGUAGCCUCUGACCCCACGGGGACGCUCCAAGUCCGUAAAUUGGCACGACUUUGAAUUUUCUUCUCCGUGAGUUUAGGAAAAAUCAAACAUUUAAUCAGCCCUUCUAGUUUUAAUACGACUAAUUUCCCAAAUCAAACGCAACUGAUCCAACAACAGCAUGAACAGCUGCUCCCUCGGUCGCAGGGAAAAGAACGAGUGAUAAUUAUCCAUCGCCCUUCUAGUUUUUAUUAACCCAACAAAACCUUUUGAUUUUGAUACGUGUAGUUACGAAAAUUAUUAAAUUUACUUAGUUAUCCUUAAUAUAAAGAUAUAGAGGUAAAGUAUGCACUUUAUUAAUAACCUAUUAAUGUAGUAUGUCAAAUCUAAUAUAUCAAAAAAACUAGUACAUGUAUCUGUAUAUUAUUGUUAAAAAUAUGCCAAGUUAUCUUAAAAAUCUGUAAAUGUUUGCAUUAUCUUUGAUAAUUUUCUCUCAUUGUUUAAUUGUACCAUGGGAGGCAAGUUCUUUUAAUCUAACAUAAUAUAUAUAUAUAUAUAGGACUUCUUAUAAAAAGAUUCUCUAAAAUCUCUGGAAGGUUUUUGGUAUUUAUGACUUCUGGACUUGUAAUAUUUUUUAUAAGGUUUUGGGGAACACUUACCAUUACAGUCUUUAACACAGAUACUUUACCCGGUCGUUAUUGGUAUCAGAGCCAAGGGAAAGUAGGUGUAAUAUUUAGUAAAGUAUCUGUGUUGUUUAUUUCUUUUAUUAAAAAUUAGUGUGUUUGCUGAAUUCUUUACUGGUAGUAAGUCCCGUCUCAGGAUAAGGAUUUCCGCUUAGAGCAGUAAAACCAUACCUGUAGGCAUUCAUAUAGGUUUUAAUUUAAGUUUUUAAAUUGCAUGGAUUCUCUACUGCAUAGAACAUCAUCUUUCUCUAGCUCUUCUUCCGAGAAGACUAGUGUUUCAAAGAACGUGGUGAAUUCAGAAGAAUUCAUUAUUGAAGAUUUUAAUAAAGCAAUUGACAAUUGGGAUUUACCAAAGGUUUCUAAAGAUAAGAUUUAUAAAAUGAAAAAACUUGAUUUUUUAAAGACUAAUUGUGUUAUAAAGACAGAAGAAAGAGAUAUCACACUCUCAAAGCCAUUUGAGACAAUUCAUUUGUUUUCUGAGCACUCUUUAAAGAAAUUAAAAGAGAAAAAUUUUAAUUAUGUUCAUAUUGGCUUAAUCCAAAUCGGCAUAAAACCUUUAACUAAAGAAGGAUUAAAUACUUCCAUUCUUGCUGUCCUCAGAGAUGGGAGGUUCAUCUCCUUUGAUGAUUCUUUACUCAGUAGUAUUGAAUCUAGUCUCUGUAAAGGACCCAUUUCUUUUGAUUGUUAUCCUAAUAUAACGGUUUCUUUAAAAGACAAGAAUAUUUUGAAAAGCAUGAUUUUACAGAUCAAAACACAUAACUAUCACAUGUUAGAAGGAUCUGUUCCAGUUGCAUUAAUUUUCAAAAUAUCUUAUAAAGCCAUGAUUUCAGCGUUCAAUACGCAGCAUAAAUUCCAGUCAAAAAGAGAUGAAACUCUUCUCUUGCAGACUGAUAUGUCUAAAGCCAACACUGUUAUUCCAAAACCAAUACAAUGGAAAGAUAUCACUCUUCCAGACGAAUGGAUCCUUGAAGGGGCCACUCAACCAGUGAUCCCAAGACAACUUGAGCCAAAUACAGAGUUACAAAAUAUGACUCAGUAUUCAGAUGGUAAAGUCAAACUAUCUUUUAGGAGAUCUACAUCCUCUAGAUUCUCCGAUAAAGAUUCAAGUUCCAGUAUUCCUCAUUUACAAAAGAAAUUUUCAAAAGUUCCCUCUGUUAUAAAUCUUCCUUUUCAACCAACAAAUAGUCAACCUAAGUUAUCCACCUCGGACAUACCUAGCUCUUUCAUACAUUCUGUUGACUAUGCAACUAGUGUCCCACAUCCUAUCUACACUAGUCGCCAAAGCCAGGAAGAGAAGGAACCUUCUCCUCCAACUUCUCCUACGUUUUCUGCUGUUACUGAAAAUAUAAUAAAUGUCAUUGAAAAAGAUUUUGAAUCAGAUAAAACUCUUCUUUAUAAUGAUUUUUAUUUUGAAUCUAAUAAAGAGAAAAGACUUUGGUUUUUUAAACAUUUCUUAAACCAGAGAAAAGAAAUUCAACAAAAUUAUUAUGAAUUUGUAAAUUUGCAUAAAGUUCAUAUAUUGUUUUUUGAUUGGUUUGAGAUGUAUGCUUCAGAUAACAACAUUAAUUAUCCUUUUAAAGAAUCAAAUCCCAUUACGGUCAAAAAGAAAAUUGUUGAAUUGAACCUUUCUGGUAGUGGAAGAACCAUUGAAUCUGAGCAUCCACCUCUUAGGAGUCUAACCAUUGAACAUGGUGAACCUCCUGUUGAGAUUAAAGCCUCACCCUAUAAGAUCCAUAAAGACCCAGACACGGAUUUAGAUAGCAUCAUUCAACAGAAUAAUUUAUGUAAUGCUAAUCUAAAUACAAAAGUCAACCGUUAUUGUCCCAUCUUCUACUCCCUCAAAAUCUGAUUCCUUGAAAAAGCUUAAGGAACCUAUUUUCAAACCAUACCAGGUUUCGAAACAUAACCAAAAGCUUGUUCAAGAUUCUAAAUCAGAUUUCGCUAAUGCCAUUAAAGAAUAACUUGAUCGAAUAGAAGCAUCUCUUCUGCUUCUACUUCUAAAGUCCAAAUUGCUCCUGAUAGUGCUCAAUCUAGCAAGAUUGGUGUAUUAGAACAAGAUCAGUCUUCUAUAGUCUCAUAUGAUAUAGAAGCUUUCAAAGAUGAGUCUAUCCCUAAAGCUAAUAAAAUCCAUUGGGAACUUGCUCUCCCAACUGUAAGAACUCCUUCAGACCUUGCCAUCGAUGAUAGACCAAGUGCAUUAAACCAAUCUCGUUUUAAUGCAUCCUCUGUCUAUGAAUGAAACAUUGAUGGUAUGUCUGAGUAUAAUAUUUUAGGAUUAUUACAACAGAUGACCAUGGCAGCCAAUGCCUAUAAAACUCAACAAGGAACUUCUAACAAAGCCAUAUAUUGAAUAUCUUUUGAUAAUGUUAUUUUUAAAAUAAAAAAUAUUUUAGAACGACAAAGAAAGUAAAUUGUGUUCAUUGCAAAGAUCAAAUAAAGUGUACAUCUAGUAGCAUGCAUGCUUCAAAAGUCGUUUUGCUAUCAUAGGGAAAAAGAAAAAGCUUUUUGAGAAUAAUCCACUUCUCAAACAUGUAUUAGGAGAAAUUUUAUAAUAUAUUAGAGAUACUACGUAAGUUAAUAUAAUUAGUGAAAGAUGCUAAUGCAUUUGAAAAUGGUACCAAAUAAAAAUGCUAAAAUUAUUCAAAGGUCAAGACCAGCAAAAUUAUGACGAAGAAACAUUUAUUUUUGAGGUUCUAUUGCAUUAUAUCCUAAUAACCUACUGCCAAAGCAAAUCACAACUGACAAAUGGACAAAACUUAAAACUCUCUAUGAUCCUUCUCUCUUCUUGCAUCAAGAUGGACUAAUUGGAAUACUCUGUUCAUAUGUGAAGAAAUUAUCAGGAUCCACCGAUGUCUUCACACGCACCAACCUGUCAAAAUUAUUCUUGAAGUACUUAAUCCCAUAAAUCUUUCCUUCUUCAUAAGUACCAUUAGUAUUGCUACCGAUGUCGAUAUCGCGAUAAUUGAGAAAUGCUUCUCUGGGAUUCUUGGAAACAUAAGGAGUCAUAGCUUCAUAAAAAGUUCUUGUCAAAUUUAGAUAGCGGUUGGUGACUUCAAUUCCUGGUUGAUUCCAGUUCGCAGAAUACUGAAUCUUGAAUAUGUUUCCAGCUCUGUGCGGAAAUGGCGUUUCUGUUGCAGGAAUCUCACUCAUUAUUCCGCCGUAAGGAUUCCAUUGCAUUCCCACUUCUCCGAGCUCAAUCAUCAACUUCCAUAUUGAUUCCAGGCCUGUCUUCGGAAUCGGUUCCUGAACAUAAUCCGAUUUUCGUUUCAAAGAGACUUGCGAUUUUGGAAUCCUGUUAAGUAAAACUUCCAACGGAGUUCCAAUUGGUUGAUCAAACCAAAAUAGAACAGAUUCAACCCAUCUCAUUUCAAAGCAAUCCUUUUUCUGUAUCCCCAAUUCAGGGAAGCUCUGUUUCAUCAACGAAAGAAGCUUCUCUGUUUGUCCUAAAAACAUGGCAACAAAUGAAACUUUUACAGUCUUUUCACCUUCUUUACUUCCAUUUACAGCAUUAAUAAACAAUCUUAUGAAGAGAUCUUGGUCCAAUUUGUCGGCCGCAACUUGUUGCCAUUUUGCAACCAAGUCAGUAGCGCCUUGUUCCAGGGUUUUCACCACUCGAAACACAGUCACAGUUUCAGGAACCUGAACCAAUUUAAUCUUCCAGGAAAGAAUUACACAGAAGCUCGCUGCACCACCUCCUCUAAUAGCCCAAAAAAGAUCUUCUCCCAUUGAUUUUCUAUCGAGAAUCCUACCCUGAACAUCAACAAUUUGCGCAUCAACGAUAUUGUCCACUGACAGCCCAAAUUUUCUCAUCAUGUUGCCAUAUCCGCCUCCGGAAAAAUGCCCACCAACACCAAGAGUUGGGCACACUCCAGCAGGGAACCCAUGGAUUUUACUUGCCUCCGCAAUUUUGUAAUAAACUUCUCCAACCGUUGCGCCGGCUUGAACCCAGGCAGUUUCAUCUGUUAAGCUGAUGUUAAUAGACCGAAGAUUGAAUAUGUCAAGGAUGACAAAAGGAACAUUGGAUACAUACGAGAGGCCGUCGUAAUCGUGGCCUCCACUCCGGAUUCUGAUCUGCAAGCCAAACUUUUUUGAGCAAAUGACAGUUGCCUGGACAUGGGAUUCAUGCUUGGCAGCCACAAUAACGAGUGGCUUCAGUGUUGUUGGUGUAGCAAAUCUGAGGUUUCUUACAUAUGACUGUAAAACGGACGAGAACGAAGCGUUUUCGGAGAUUGCAAUAGAGGAUUGAGAUUGCAUGGAAAGGCAUUGGAGAAAGUUUUCUUCAACAGAAGCUGAAUUUGCAGCAGAAAAUGUGAAGAAAAUGAUUGAGAAAAGAGAGAAUAUAAUUAUACAUUUUGAAAACUCCAUUUUUUUGCGAAUUGUUUUGAUCCGUCAACGCUUCACACACACAAAUAUAUGAUUUAGUGAUAAUGGUGUUAAAUGUUUUGAUUAUAGAUUUCUUUUAUUAUUAUUAUUAUAGAUUCCUUAAAUAACAACAGAUCGGUGUUGGAAAAUGCAUUUAUUUUCUUGCCCCUAGUCUUGAUUCUGUUGGAGAUUGUCCAAUGAAUUUCCAAAAUGGAUGUUCAUUUCUAAGGAUGGCUCGAUUGGGUUUCUUGCACUAAAAUUAAUUGCGUUGUCCUCUUUGGGCUGUACUAGAUCGAUCUCUUCGUUUUCUUUUCUUUUUUUUGAGUGGGACUAUUGGCACCCCUUUAAAUAUCUCUCAACACCUCUUUUUUUUAAUAACCCCAUUAAAAUAUUUAAAAAUAGGGUGGGGCUAUUUGAACCCACCAAUUUACUCAAUAAACCUAUUUACUAAAUAAACUCAUUUUUAAAUUUUUAAAUUUUAAAUUUUACUCAGUAAACCUACUAAAAUACCUAAUAUUGCCCUUUCUAAACCCAACUUUUAUAAUAAUAGUGAUUUUACUCAUUAAACCCAUAAUAUUCAUUUAUAAACCUAUUAGAUUGAAAAUUGAUUAUUAAUUAGAAAUUUAAUAAUCAAUUUUGAGUGAAUAACCCUCGUUCAAGGACAAAUGAAUCAAAACAUUCUAAAUGGAGAAAAUAGUUGUCAUCAUGAAAUUAUUUUUUUGAGUUAUAUUAUAGUGGUGAGAAAAAUCUUGUAUGAUGGUAUGAAAAUCUAAUAUGAGGAAUUUGAGAAAAAAUAAUUUUUUCAGAAUUUGGGAAAAAAACAAUAAUUGAUUAUUAAUUGAAAAUUUAAUCAUCAAUAUUAAUUAAACAAUUUUGAGUGAGGGGUCAUUCCCAAACGAAUCAUAACAAUUAAACAAUUAAUCCUCCAUAAAAUCAAUAUCCAUCAAAUCAAUAACAAUUAAUUUUGUUACUCUGAAUCAACUCACAUGUGCCUAUUUAACAAUAUAUAUGGCUUGAGAGAAGAAUCCCACCUCUUGAUUGAUUAGGGUUUAAUGAAAAUUUGAUUAGGGUUCUAUAAAACUAUGUUGAAUAUAAAGAUGGGUUUAAAGAGUAAAAAUUCUGUUUUUUUUUUAAAUUAUAUUCUAGUGUCCAUAACUGUAAUUUAAUUUAGGGGUAUUUUAAUGAUAAAAAAUUAUUUUUAAAAGUGGGUUUAUUGAGUAAAUUAGUGGGUUCAAAUAGCCCCACCCUUAAAAAUAUUAGAACAUUCUUUUAACAUCUUUUUUAUGACAAAAAUACCCUUAAUUUAAAUUAUUAAUAUAAACUCCAUUUUUUAAUUUUUGAUUUGUGAAUUUUGAGAUAACUAAUCAUCUAUUAAAAAAAGAAAGAAAGAGGAAAAAAAAAAAGGAACUUGCUCCACGAAACUACUACUUUUACGUGGCAAAUCACUGAAAUGUCAGCACGAUCUUGCAUACAGCUUUCAGCAUCAACUUGUUUUCCACCGGCAAUCUCUUGCUCUUGCUCCUUCUCCUUCUUUGCGUUUGCGAUCGUGCCUGACAUUCUCGCUCUCUAUACUGGUAACAACUACUUGAUAUAGAAGAUCAAAAUCUUCAUAUUAAUUUGUUUUGAAUUUGAAAGCAUUUUUUUAAAGUUAAAAUAACUUUAGAAACAUAAUCAUGCAUUACAAACAAACAUGAAAUAUCAAAUUCAUCUGUUUAAUUACAAAUACUUCCCAGCAAUUAAGAAAGGUAAUAUAAACAAUAACAUGAUGCUGUUAGAUAUUUAAAAUUUUCAGUAAUUAUAUUUAUUUAUAUAUGGUCAUUUUGCAUUAAAAGUCAGGACUACAGUAGUACGCCAUACCUGAUCGAAACAAGACGGUAUCCUAAAUGGCAGGCACUUUACUCCAAUGCAUGACAAUGCAUUGUAAUUGAUGAUGACACCUGGCAAACCCUUGGCCACCAUGCAUGUAAUUCUAAGGCCAAAUGUUAAUUUGGUUUACUGAAGAAUAUGUUGAGCACAAGUUUUGAAUCUUAAUUUCCCUCACGAGGUCUCAAGGUUUCUUCUCUGAAGCUUGUUAUGAUGAGUUGCUGUUGUCGCCAAUAAUUCCUCAUCUGUUAAUUUGGUUUAUUUUUUUAUUAUCAUCCUCAUCUGUUUGCAUGAUUAUUUUCUCCUAAAUUUGAAACUCUUAGAUUAAGGUUUAGGAAAGAAAGAGAGUUUAUAUUAUAUGUUGUAUAAAUGAAAAAAUGCAGUAUAAAGAAUUUUGAAGGGGAAUAAAUUAUUUAAUUUUGAGUGGGGGUUUAAUUAGAAAUUAUCCUAUUAUGUAAUUUUAAUAAAGGUUAAAAUUGUAAAAUAAUUAAAGGGGUGUUAAGAGGUACUUAGAGUGGUGCCAAUAGUCCCACUCCUUUUUUUUUCCUCAUCACUUUCUCACAUACAUGAUGGACUCACAAGGCCCACCCUGAGAAAGUGCUUUCAAAUGAGUCCCUAAACCCUAAACCCUAAUCCAUUCACAGAAAAAGUACUUUCUUGUAAGGUGUCCAUCAACAACAAGCGCAUUCUCAGCGCUUUUGACAAAUUAAUUUCAACUAUGCCCUCCGAAAGUGCAUUACAAAGUGCUUUCUGAGUGCUUUGACAGUUAAAAUUAACUUUUCAUUUUAAAAAAUUUUAGAAUACAUAAGAAGUAUUAUAUUAGUCAUAUAACAAUUAAAUAAAUUAUGACAUAUAUAUAUAUAUAUAUAUAUAUAUAUUUAUUUUAAAAAAUUAUCAUAUAAGUAUUAAUUAUAUUAAAUUUAAUUAUAUAUGUCAUACAUAAAUUAGUAAAUUGUAUUACUUCUGAUAUUCUAAAAUUUCUUAUUGAGAGAAAUUCUAAGAUACAUAAUGCCGAAUGACAUAAUUAUUUAUUUUUCUUUUAACGACUACUUCUCAUGAUACUAUAACAAAUGGCAUCAUUGGAAAUUAAGGACAAAUGACAAACAACUACCUAUUCUUUCUCAAAAGGGAAAUUAUCAUUACACCACCUUUAUUUUGCCUUAUGUUCAUCCAACCACUACAAAAUUCUAACAUGUACUUUGCACCAUCUUUUUUUUUUUUUUCACAUUUGUAUCAACUAGCCACUUUUGCAUUAACACUAUUAAAUAAUUUUAAUAAAAUGACAAAUUUAUCCCCAAAUAAAUCAAAAGACCAUUUUAUUUUAUUAAAAUUUUAAAAAAUAAAAAAUAAUGAUAAAAAUAUCCCUAAAUUUAAUAAAAAUAAAUCCCUAAAUUAUAAUUUUUAUUUUUAAUAAAAAGUAUUUUAAUAUAAAUUAUAAUUAUAAAAAUAAUUGCAAAAUUUUGGGAUUUAACAAAAAUCCCCUAAAUUAUUAAAAUUUUAGGAUUUAUUCUUUUAAGAAAUAAAUUCAGUUAUUUUAAUAAAAUUUUACAAAAUUAUAAUUUUUUUGUAAAAUCUAAAUUUAGUAAAAAUCAGUUGAGCACCUCUAUUUGGGAUUUAUUUUUAUUAAAUUUAGGGAUAUUUUUAUCAUUAUUUUUUUAUUUUUUUAAGUUUUUAUAAAAUAAAAUGUUCUUUUAAUUUAUUUGGGGGUAAAAUUAUCAUUUUAUUAAAAUUAUUUAAUAGUAUUAAUGGAAAAGUAGCUAGUUGAUACAAAUGUGAAAAAAAAAAAAGUGAUGCAAAGUACAUGCUAGAAUUUUGUAGUGGUUGGAUGAAUAUAAGGUAAAAUAAAGGUGGUGCAAUGAUAAUUUCCCUUCUCAAAAUAGCAGUUUAAUCCUUAUAAGUUAAAAAAUAUCAAUGAAGAGCCGUGUGAUUUUUUUUCUUCUUCUUUGUUUCUUUUUUCCCACUUUUCCCAGCAUUAAAAAUUCGGUCAGAAACAUAAAUAAAUUUUCAUCGUAAUAAUUUUUUUAACCAACUUCCUGUGGAAUGAAUCUGCCGUCCGAACUAGUGGAGGUUGAGAUUUUAGAAUGCAUAAUGGGAAAAGGAUCGUGCAGUGAGUGAUACGCAAAGCCCAGAAAGCUGUAGAUUUGACUUUGUAGAACAAAUCCAAUUAACUAGAUUCAUUUAUAGAUAAUCUAGAUGCCUCCACAAUAAGGAUAUAUAAUGCUCAUAAUAAUUCCGCAAAAAUAAGUUUUUCAAACUUGUACACCAUAUACCAAAGGGAGAAGAAUGGACCGUCUGGAACUCCAAACCAUCAUAAAGUUUAUCUUGUAUAAAAGGAUCUUGAGCUUCGAAUAGCUAGCCUUUUGACUAUUAAAAGCACUUAAUUUUUUUAAAUACGCGCCAUAAAAGUUUAUUUCUCCUUUUUGUUGAGGUAAAUGAUGACGAUAACCAUUAACUCUUGACAUCUUUUAUAUACAGUAAAAUCUUUAUAAAUUAAUAAGGUUGGGACUAUAUAAAAUUUAUUAAUUAAAAGAGAUAUUAAAUAAUUAAUAAAUUAAUAAUUUAUUAAUUUAUAGAUUUAUUUACAAUUCAAUUAACAUAUAGUAGUUUUAGAGCCCGUUGAGCAAAAGGAAGCACUCAAAGCAUCAACAACACUUCAUAAUUUCUUAUUUUAUUAUAAUUCGAUAAGUCAACCCCAGAGCUUCUAAAUGUAAUAAGAAAAAUAACUGAUGAGAUCCAACUAAAUUUAGAUUUUAAGAAAAAAAGUAAGUAACAAUGGACUCAUAUUUUAUGUAAUUAAAAUAUCAUAGUCAACUAUAUUUGUAAUUUCAGUAAAUUAUUAAUUUAUGAUUUGAAUAGGACCACAAAGUUAUAUAAAAAUUUGUUAAGAAAAGUAUUAUCUUAUUAUUUUAUUGAAAUUAUUAUUUAGUCCAUUGGCCUAAGUUGGGACUAUGAAAAUUAUGGAGAUCAUUAAUUUAUCGAGUAUUAAUUUAUAGAGAUUCUACUAUAUUAUUAUUUGAACUAGGAUGACUAUAGCUAGGGGUGGGCGCGGUUCGGUUCGGUUCGGUUUUUUACUAUAUUUUUCAUAAUCGUUCGAUUACGAUUAUUUUAAAAUCAUAAUCGCGAUUAAUCAAAUUACCGAAAUAAUCAAAUACUCGAUUAAUUGAAAUAAUUCGGUUCGGUUCGGUUCGAUUAUUUCGAUUAUGGGCCUAUUGGGCCUAUUUUGGGCUUUUUCAAAUUUAAAACCUUAAAUUAAUAAAUCUACAACAAACAUAAAAAAUUAACAAACAAAAAAUCAAAAUAUGUCUCAAACAAUGUUCAAUAACACAUAAAAAAAUUAACACCACAGCAGCAACAAAUCAAAGAGAGAAUCUAGGAUCUGACACAUUCACUUAAAACUACCAAAGGAUAUCCAUUAUCCUCAAACAAUUUGUAUACAAUCUUCCAAAAGAUUACUCUUUGAUCACGCAUAACAAAUAACCAUACAAAAAUUUUUAUAUUAAAAUAAGCAAAUUUAAUACUAAAAAAUCUUGCCGCAUGCUGUUGUCUAAUGUUGCCCAUUUAUGAAAGCAAUAAAUUUCUUGUGAAAAUAUUAUAGAUUAUUUCCAGCAAUCACAGAAUCUAAAAGCUUGAGCUUGUGCUUAAUUAAACGUCUGACAAGGUUAUUUAAAUUUCUACUCACCUAUAUUUUAACUAUUUUUAUUAUUCUCAGGUUCUAUGGUUUUCAAUUUCAAACUCAAUAUUAGUCAAAGGAACAACGCUAAUUAAAAAGAUUAAAUUAAAUCAAGCAAUGCAUUAGCAAUCUGUAAAUUGAUUACUUAAGGUUAAGGAUCAACUUCUCAAAAUUAAUGCCCAGAAAAUAACUUAUUUUUAAAAGUUCAAAACAAACCCACUUAUUAUUAUUAUUAUUAUUAUUAUUAUUAUUGGGAAGCAAUACAGAUUAGCUCCAGCAAAAUCGAUCCUGAAGAAGAGAUAACACAUUUGCUGCACGUCCUAUCUUUACAUGUGUGUACCCGCAAUAAUUAAUGAUUUGACUAAUAAGUUUGAUAUUAUAUAUAUAUAUAUAUAUAUAUAUAUAUAUAUGCACAACUUGACUUUGAUGCCAUUUUAAGAACUACUAUAGCAAGAUAAACGCUUAAGCAAACACUCACAAGCAGCAGCGGCUACCAGCAGCGACAAACAGCAGCGACAGCAGCAGCGGCUGCAGCAGCGAGGCAGCGGCUGCAGCAGCGAGGCAGCGACGACCAGCGGCAGCAGCAGCGAGCCAGCUACGACCAGCGGCAGCAGCAGCGAGCCAGCGACGAGCAGCGGCAGCAGCGAGCCAGCGACGAGCAGUGAGCCAGCGAUGAGCAGCGGCAGCAGCAGCGAGCCAGCGACGAGCAGCGGCAGCAACAGCGACGUGUUCAGGGGCUGAAGGUCACGAGUUCGGCUGAAUUAGAGAUUUAGAGUCACUUUACUCACUUUAGGUUUUGGACUUUUGGGAAUCCGGAUUUUAUUUGUGUUCGGUUCGUCGGUUCGGUUUUUCGGUUUUUUUUUUUAAACCGAAAACCGAACCGAUUGAUUUUACUAUUUUUUCGGUACUACUAUUUCGGUUUUUUGGAUAUAAAAAAACCGCAAAAAAACCGAACCGAACCGAACGGUUCGGUUCGAUUUUUGAUUAAUCAACUUUUUUUGCCCACCCCUAACUAUAGCUGAGCCACACAAUGUGGGUUAAUUUUGCUCAUGCAUAGAUACUUCUAGCGGCGGUGAAGAAUUCAAUGAAGAGUUAAGUUUAGAUAGUAAUAUAAUUUAAAAAUAUUCAGUAAAUAACAAGUAUCAAAAUUUUAAUUCAUUAAAAUAUUUUAAUUCAAUACAUAUACAACUAUCAUUUGUUUUCAUAGUUCCAUAGGACAUGACCUUAAUUCUUUCAUCUCAUAAAAAUCUCCAAAAAAAUUGAAAAAAUGACAUUUUAACCUUUAAGAUUUGGAAAAAUAAUCAUAUACACCCUCAAGUUCUAAAAAAGGAAUACCAAAACUGCUUUUUUACUAUAACACCCUUUGGAUAUAAUAACUAAAAAAAUUAACUUUAAAAUUUUCAAUAAAUAUAAAAAUAAUAUAAAUAAUGUAAUAUGUCUAGUAGACCAAUAAAAUUCAUAUUUUUAAUAUUUAAAUAAAUUUAAAUAUGCAAAUUAUUAUAUCUAUUUUAAUAAUAUAUUUGUAUUUAUUUUAGAGAAUUUAAAUAAAUAUUUGGGCUAAAUACAUUUUACAAUUAAAAAAAUCUCACAUACUAAUAAUGUUAAAAUUAUUAUUUUACAUAAUAUUUAAAAUAAUUUAAAUUUUAAUACAUUUAUUUUAAUAUUAUGUUUCUAUUAAUUAUAAAAUUUACUUUAAUAUAAUUAAAAUAUGUCUAAUGGAUUGUAAUAUAUUAAAACGUAUUUAAAUAUUGAAAUUAUUUUAAAAUGUAUAUAUUAUUACAUUUAUUUUAAUAUUAUAUUUCUAUUUAUUAUAAACUAUUGGAGUCAACUUUUUUAAUUAAUAGAUUUAAAAGGUAUUAUAGUUAAAAGAGGAUUUUAGCGUCUUUUUUAAAAAAUGUUGGAGUCUUUGUGACAUUUUUGCACACUUUGAGAUGUAGAUGUUAUUUUUCCAAAAAAAUUAAAAAAAUGAUAACCAAUCGAGAACUGUUUACCUAAAUAACUAGAGCACCCUUAAGCAAAUCAAUGUGAAUUAGACUUUAGAACCUUUAAACACUUACCUGCUUUUUAGCGAAAGAGAAGAUUGAAGAGUCAUAAAACUCCUGGUUUUCUAGAGAGAGUGAAAAAUUAAAAAUUAGAAAAGAAGAAAGUCAAACAUUUACUAAUUGACAUUUUUGAUAUUAUGGAAAUUUAUGAGGAGCGUUUAUGAUAAAUCAAAUCAAUAAUGGGACAAAUGUCAAAAUGGGCUUAAAAUUUUUCUUAAAAGGUCCGUUGUUGGGCACAAAGUGGCACCAUCGUUGGUGAUUCAAAUUUGACUCACAUGAAUGAUAAAUUAGUAUUUGUUGAAUUGCUCAAAAAUAAUAAUAAAUAGAAAAAGGGAAAUAAAUUUUAACACAACAAUUUACAAUUUAGUUUUAUCUCCUGAAAAAUUAUUUUUCUUUAUUGUUUUUAAUUUAUAAACAAAAUAAAGAAACAAUUUCAACUGAGAUCAAACAGUUCUAACAUGCGUCAUAGUAGAUGAACUCUCCUAAAUCCUAAUAUUUGUGAACAACGGUGUGAGAUUCAUGUGACACGUCUCUCUAAAUAUUUUAGCACUAUAAAUUAAUUAUUUAUUUUAUGUGUAUAUAUCACAAUUUUAUACGAUGAGUAUUAUUAAUAUGUAAAUAAGUAAUAAAUUAGUUUGAUUUAUUGAAAAAAAAAUGAUUUGUCAAGAGAUUUAAUGACGCACGCCUUUCCAGUUAUUUUAGUUUUAAGAAAAUGUUAAUUCAUGCAUAUUACGUAUAGGCUAUAAACUAUUAUUUGGCAUAAAAAUUCAAAAUGAAGACUACUUACUCUAGCAAAUUAGUUAAGUAACAUACUCGAUUGUGCAAUUUAAAACGUUCAAUUGUUUAUUUUAAGUCAAAUAAUUGAUAUUGCAUCUUUGCUUGACCACUGACCCUUUGGGGUUGUCCGUGGUGAUGUUCAAAGGAACUUCCGUGGAGUACACUCGUUACGGGUCUGUUUGGCAGGUGCAAUAGAUCAUAUUUUGGGACUCAUAAAAUUUUUUUAUUUUAAAAUAACAUAAAAUUAUAUUAUUUAAUUUAUGGAGUUCAUUGAAGCACUCGUUAGACUUGUCAAAUGAUAUACUAUUAGUAGUAUGCACAUCAUUUUAACAGGUUGAAGUAGUGCGCCUGUUCCACAUAAGUUUUUCUCAUAAGAUAAUAUAUUAGGAUCAGGAGGGUCAUAAACAAUCCACAUCCAUUGUUUAUUAAUCAAUAACAAAACAUUUUUAAAGGUGAUUUUGUUGGGAGAAUUUGUGCCUCCCGGUUCCCGGUUCGAGCAGAGAUUUCUAAUUUGAGUUGUAGUACAGGCUUCAAGGUGUCUCCCACAGUUGGGGCCCUCCCCAAGAUACCUCGUGGUUAAGACAAAAAAAAACAAAAUAUUUUUAAAGGAUUGGAUUAACUCCUAGAGUAAAAGUAAGAGGUCAUGGUUCAAGUCCAACGAAAAUAUUUUACUUCGACGAUGGGGAGGGGUCAAAUAUAAUAAUAAUAAAAUCACUUUAGUUUUAUGAGAUUUCAUUAAACAAAAUCGUUUAUUUUUUUUAAAUUGGAUUAGGAUUGUUUUUAUUUUAAGUUCUCUGAGUUUUUAAACAUUUUAUAUUAUGAAUUUUUUAAUAAUAGAAUAUGGAUAAGAGUUAAUUUUUUUUUUUAAUUAACAUCAAUUAGUACACGAACUUUUGCUCAAGAAAAGUUCAAAGCAGUAUUGAUUGACCGUUCAAGAAGCUUCGUUGGAAACUUUUUUUGUUUUCUUUUGAGGUUGCUCUGUUGUACAACUUAGAAGACUAGAAGCUCUGAUUUAACAAAAAAAUUAGUGGUUUUUAUACUAUAAAGAUGAAAUUUAAGAUGGUUAUUAACUUUUAUUCUAUUUAAGAUGGGUAUAGCCUUUGAUUUUAUUCAUUAUAUUUUUAAUCUUCGUAGAGGAAUAAUUAGUUUGUAUUUCGGUAAAAGAUGCAAAAUGUUAGUAAGCGGAUUCAAAAAAUGGAAAUAUAUUUGCUCAAUAAAACCAUAAAAUGAUUUUUAAACCAGAAAAUGAACUUAAUAUUUCAAAAUUAGGCUUCGAAAACAUAUUAAUUUAACCAGAAGAUGAAAGAGAAAAUGGAGCGUGCAGCUGAAUUUACUUACAGGACGUCAACUUUUGACUGACUAAUUCAUCGGUGACAAAUAAACAUCGAUAUUUACUAGCUAGCGAUGCAAGAAUGUGAGUUGUUAUUUGUAUCUUCCCGAAAUUUUCAACAGAAUAUUCCAAUAAUUUACUGUUGCUUUUUUAGCUUUGCGAUAUUUCUGAACACGUACUAGAGAUUAUUGAUAUGUCUUAUUUCAUGCAGUAACUUAAUUUGCUCGUAGAUACGUCUUAAUUAAAUGACGAACCAAAAAUGCACGGCUACUUUGCGUCACGUUGCUCAUUGAUUUGUCUUAUUUAUGCAGCGAACUUUGAGGCAAUUAAUAAUGAUCACGUAUUUAUUGAAGUUUGAUAAUGAUCUUAUAUGUCAAAUAUUGAAAUAAAUCUUGGUGGACUCUUUCAGACUUGGCUUACUUAAAUUUGGCAACUGUUCUUUCACUUGCGAAACCAUGCAGCCCUUUAUUCCCUUCAUGCCUAGUUGUGAAUGAUUGGCCAAUUUGCUUGCCGCCAAUUAAAAUUCAAAUAAUGGGUCGAUCAAAGUGACCAAACAAGACAGAUAUAAAUCAUAUUUAUCUUGGAGUUUUAUGUGUUUUGAGAAACUUCGUCUAAUAGCACUAUAACAAUUGCGGCCAUGACAAUGGCUAAACGUGUGCAUGACCUCGCACACCAUUAAUAAUUUCUACGUAAGUUGGUGAUCAAUCAAUGUGUACAUGUAUACAUGAUAUGUCAUGCCCGAAAUCUAGACGGGUAUAAGGGUGAUCCUUACAUACAAUUCACGGUUCAAACGUGGCGAAAGCUCUAAAGUAAAUAAACUUAUCAUCUUUAUAUAAUUAAAAUUCAACCCUUGAACGGCGGAAGACUUUAAAUGUUAAAUCAUUUAUGAUUCUUAAAUCAAGUCAUUCUCUUUACUCAUCAUGGAUCAAUCUUAAUUUUUAAGAAAAAAAUUUAUAUACCAAAAUACACAUAUAGAUAUUUAUAUACCAAGCAAAUUUAUAAAAUACCAAAAUCUUUUUAAAACAUCGUAGACAAACUUUUCAAACAUAUAAUCUUUCCAAAUUUAUAAUCAUUUAACAAUUAGAAGCAGACACAAAUUAGGUAAGUAUUUAUAUACUUGAAACUUCAUUAAAACAUUUAAAUAUUUAAACAUAGUUAAUUAGCUCAUGCCUCGUAGUCCUUAACAUAUGAUGUCACGUUAUGCACAAAGUGGGGUGUGGUUUUUCAAAACAUAUAGCAUCAUGUUAGGAAAUAUGUCUUCCUCUUUAAUGAGGAUUUGUAAAUCCUAAAUUAAAAUAUUUUUUAGACUUUUCUUAUUUAGUUGUUUUCUUAUUCAUGAGGAUUCAUAUUUAAAAAAUAAGUAAUUUCCAUUUAAAACUUAGCUUAUUUAAGGAAGAACACAAUUUGUAUGAGAAAAAGAAUACUACUUGUAGAAGAAAUAGUCAUUAUACUUGUCUCAACAAUCAAUUUCUCUACAAGUAGACAAUUUUUAAUAUGAGAGAAACAGUAGUUCUAUUAAGAGAUUGAGUAUUAUUGGGGUUUUGGGUGUAAAGAAUAUAUUAGAGUGAUUGUUCUUAUUUUUUGCAUAGUAUAUUUUUCUCUUCUCGUCCUUGGCAGCCAUAGUUUUUCUCUAAUAUAAGAGUUUUCUCACGUAAAUUCUUAUAUUGUGUAAUUAAUUUUAUUCUCUAUUUAUUUUCUGUUUAUUAUUUGUUUGAUAUUUUUUCUUUCAAGAUAUUGGAACAAAUUAAAAUUUCUAACAAGUUGUAUCAGAGCUAAGCUUGUUUUGAAAAGUAAUUAUGCCAUCAAUAAGAUUUCAAUCUGCAUAUAGAAACAAAAAAGUUUAAUGGAAUAAUCAAUUUUGGCUUGUGGCAUAUUCAAGUCAAGUAUAUAUUAGUUCAAUCUAUGUUACAUAAGGAAAGCAAAAGCAAUGUAAAACUUCGUAGGAACUCGUAGAGGUAUGUGGACAAUUAAGGCACUUUGAAGAAGAUUGUCGAAAUAGAGCAAGUUUGGCAAAUAAAUCUAAAUCAGUAGAUGGAGAUACUGAUAAUAUUAGCUAAUGGUGUAUCUCUUUAGUGCAUAAGAGAUCGGUUUAUCUUUUUUUGGUGUGCCAUGGAAAAGAGUGUGUCAUUGUUAGUGGCUCUAAAAGAUUUGCAUUCAAGGCAUGUGUUUGACAUUUGUGCAAGCUAUAUGAAGUAAUUUUUAUGUUGAUGGUGCUGGAGGCUCUCAAGGAGCCAAACAUGAGAGUGGGUAUUUUUAGAAAUUUAAUCGACAUGUACCGAAUAUGUGUACUUUGGAUAAGAUAGAGUAUGACAAUUAUUGGUGUACAGAAUUACAGCAUCUAGAUAGAGACCAUAAUGGAGUGAUUCUCAUAAGCUCUAUGCGAAUAUGGUUUGGUGCAGUAAAGGAGGUAGAGAUGACAUGGCUAUGGAUACACGGUGGAUCAUGUUUUGUCACCUAAUUGAAAAACUCACUAAGGUGGAGAUUGUAAGGAAAUAUCUCUUAUUUCUUAAUGAGGAUUUGUAAAUCUUAAAUAGGAUAUUUUCUAGGUUUUUCUUAUUUAAUAGUUUUCUUAUUUAAAAGGAUCCUUAUUUGAGGAAUAAGUAAUUUCCUUUUAGAAUUUAGUUUAUUCAAGAAUGAAUAUAAUUUCUAUAAGGAAAUGGAUACUACUUGUAAAAAAAAUAAUCACUAUACAUAAGGAAGUUGUGUCCACUUGUUUACAUAAUACAACAAUCAAUUUAUUUGAAUUAGAUAGUUUCUAAUGUGAGAGAACAGUGGGUCUAUUGAGAGAUUGUGUGUUAUUAAGGUUUUGGGUGUGAGGAAAAUACUUAAAUAAUUAUAAUAAUUUUCUACAUAGUAGAUUUUUCUCCCGUCGUCCUUGGCGACUGGGAUUUUUCUCUAAUACAAAGUUUUUCAUGUAAAUUCUUGUGUUAUAUGAUUAAUACUAUUCUCCAUUUAUCUUUUAUUUAUUAUUUUUUAAAUAUUUUUUCUUACAAAAUCUUGGUCAGAUUAAAAUUCCUUAAGACACUAUAUGUUAACGACUAUAAGGUAUGAGUUAACUAAGUUCAAAUAUUUAAAUGUUUUAGUUAUGAAAUGUUCUUAUGAUGUUUCCAAUAUUUAAAUGCUUGCAUAAUGAUUCAAUCACUUAUAUGUUUUUAACAUUGUACAAUGUUUUAAAUGUUAAAUGGGUAUAAAUUUCAAAAGAUUAUAUGUUACGUUAAAAUCCCCCCCCCCCCCCCCCACUUUGAAGAAGAUUGUCGAAAUAGAGCAAGUUUGGCAAAUAAAUCUAAAUCAGUAGAUGGAGAUACUGAUAAUAUUAGCUAAUGGUGUGUCUCUUUAAUCCAUAAGAGAUCGGUUUAUCUUUUUUUGGUGUGCCAUGGAAAAGAGUGUGUCAUUGUUAAUGGGUCUAUAAGAUUUGCAUUCAAGGCAUGUGUUUGACAUUUGUGCAAGCUAUAUGAAGUAAUUUUUAUGUUGAUGGUGCUGGAGGCUCUCAAGGAGCCAAACAUGAGAGUGGGUAUUUGUAGAAAUUUAAUCGACAUGUACCGAAUAUGUGUACUUUAGAUAAGAUAGAGUAUGACAAUUAUUGGUGUACAAAAUUACAACGUCUGGAUAGAGACCAUAAUGGAGUGAUUAUCAUAAGCUCUAUGCGAAUAUGGUUUUGGUGCAGUAAAGGAGGUAGAGAUGACAUGGCUAUGGAUACACGGUGGAUCAUAUUUUGUCACCUAAUUGAAAAACUCACUAAGGUGGAGAUUGUAAGGAAAUAUCUCUUAUUUCUUGAUGAGGAUUUGUAAAUCUUAAAUAGGAUAUUUUCUAGGUUUUUCUUAUUUAAUAGUUUUCUUAUUUAAAAGGAUCCUUAUUUGAGGAAUAAGUAAUUUCCUUUUAGAAUUUAGUUUAUUCAAGAAUGAAUAUAAUUUCUAUAAGGAAAUGAAUACUACUUGUAAAAAAAAUAAUCACUAUACAUAAGGAAGUUGUGUCCACUUGUGUACAUAAUACAACAAUCAAUUUAUUUGCAAUUAGAUAGUUUAUAAUGUGAGAGAACAGUGGGUCUAUUGAGAGAUUGGGUGUUAUUAGGGUUUUGGGUGUGAGGAAAAUACUAAAAUAAUUAUAAUAAUUUUCUACAUAGUAGAUUUUUCUCCCGUCGUCCUUGGUGACUGUGAUUUUUCUCUGAUACAAAGUUUUUUAUAUAAAUUCUUGUGUUAUAUGAUUAAUAUUAUUCUCCAUCUAUCUUUUAUUUAUUAUUUUUUCUUACAAAAUCAUGGUCAGAUUAUGAUGUUUCCAAUAUUUAAAUGCUUGCAUAAUGAUUCAAUCACUUAUAUGUUUUUAACAUUGUACAAUGUUUUAAAUGUUAAAUGGUUAUAAAUUUCAAAAGAUUAUAUGUUACGUUAAAAUUCACCCCACCAAACCCCCCCACCCCCCCCCCCCCCCCCCCCCCCCCCCCCUCCCCAAAGAAGAAACCAAAGCUGCGCAAGCAUCCAGGCCCGCAUCCACUGACCCAUGAUCUCAGGCUACCAAUGACCCAAGAGAAGGGAACAACUCCCCAUUUUUGGGGACCAUUGAUCGCCGCCAUCACCUCCUGUCCGAAAUACCUUUCGCUGAAUAUAAUCAAUAGAAUUUUUUGGUGACCCGGCACCACUUCUUAAAAGGGAUUGUCAAUAGAGGUAUAAAUUCCCACGGUAAGACUAGGUUAGUUUUCUACGAAAUCAUGGUAUUUCAUAUAUUUGCAUAGUGUAUAAAUAUGUACGCAUGUAUUUUGUUACAUGAAAAACUGAUUUAUUUAUUGAGCUAGUAUUCAUUAUAGUUUAUUACGAUUCUCAGAUAUCAAGAUUGAUUCAUGAUGAGUAAGGAGAAAGACUUGAUUUAAGAAUCAUAAAUGAUUUAACAUUUAAAGUCUUUUUCUAUUUAAGGGUUGAAAUUUUUAUUAUAUAAAGAUGAUGAGUUUAUUAGUUAUAAAGAUGAUAUUAGGGUAUAAUAGGAUAUAUGAUUGAAUUGUUUUGUAAGAAUCACCCUCGAACCCAUCCGAUAUUAGGGUAUAAUAGGAUAUAUGAUGAAUAAUCAUGCUUGUAGCCAAAAAAGUGCAAAUUUAGAAUAAAAACUAUAAGAAUUUUUUUAAUUUUUUUUUGGGCCCUAACGACAAUGUGCUAUUUUUGUGUGGACGUAUCCCUAUUCGUGUAUGAUUAAAAUAAAAUGUAUGGCGCUAUCAGCUCUAAAUAAAUUUGAUUUCCAAAAGUCAGAAGCCGAUAUAUUGCGUCUUUCUCUAAUUUUGUACUUUGAAUUUUCUUGGUCAAAUUGGAAGGAGGCUGGCCGGUGACUUGCACGAUCUUCUUUUCUAUUCUUUCAUUAAUUAAUUCAAAAUUAAAUUAAAAAGAUGAUAGAAAAAUUAAGAUUGAAGGAUCAGAUAGCCAGGUCAUCAACUAUAGUUCCAAUUUCAUGAACUUGCUGCAUUAUAAAUAAUAUCUUAAUGUCUCCUCUUAACAAAACAAAAUAUGGAGAUUAUGAGGCUUACAAUCACAAAACUUUCAUUAUUACUUCCAGUUCUUCUUUUCUUGUCCAUUUCAUGGAGAGCAAGAGCCACUUCAGUUUCUGUGCAUGAAAAUUUUAUUCAAUGUCUUUUAAGCCAUUCUCAGCCUUCCCAUCCAAUCUCUCCAGCUAUUUUUACUCCGCAAAACUCUUCAUUUUCGUCUGUAUUGCAAGCUCAAAUUCGAAACCUUCGCUUCAACUCAACUUCAACACCAAAGCCAUUCCUAAUCAUAACCGCUUUGCAUGAAUCCCAUAUCCAAGCAGCCAUCAUUUGCGCUCGUAAACAUGGCCUGCAAAUGAAAAUCCGAAGCGGCGGCCAUGACUACGAGGGCUUAUCUUAUGUUUCCCAUGUCCCAUUCUUCGUCCUCGACAUGUUCAAUCUUCAUUCUGUUGAUGUCGACAUCGAAACCGAGACUGCUUGGGUUCAGACCGGAGCAACUCUCGGAGAAGUUUACUAUCGGAUUUCCGAAAAAAGUAAAACUCAUGGCUUCCCUGCUGGGGUUUGUCCUACUGUUGGUGUUGGUGGACACAUAGGUGGUGGUGGCUAUGGCAAUAUGAUGAGAAAAUACGGGUUGACAGUUGAUAACAUUGUCGAUGCAAAGCUGGUUGAUGUAAGUGGAAGGCUUUUGGAUAGAAAGUCAAUGGGUGAAGAUCUGUUUUGGGCUAUCAGAGGAGGCGGAGGAGCAAGCUUCGGAGUUGUGCUAGCUUAUAGAAUCAAACUCGUUCGUGUUCCUGAAACUGUCACUGUGUUUCAGGUUCGGAAAACUUUGGAACAGAAUGCUACUGAGAUUGUGUAUCGUUGGCAGCAAGUUGCGUCCAAGCAGCUGCCUGAUGAUCUCUUCGUUAGACUUAUACUCGAUGUCGUAAAUGGCACAAAAUCUGGGACAAAGACUGUCAGGGCUUCGUUUCUUUCAUUGUUUCUUGGAGACUCUAACAGACUUUUGUCUAUAAUGAAUGAGAGCUUCCCUGAACUGGGGUUAGCUCAAUCCGAUUGUAUUGAAACGAGUUGGAUUCGAUCGGUUCUGUUUUGGACUAAUUUCCAAAUUGACGAUCCUUUAAAUAUUUUGCUCAAUCGGACACCUCCAACGCUGACGUUUCUGAAGAGGAAGUCAGAUUAUGUGAAGCAGCCAAUUCCGAAAAAUGGCCUGGAAUUUAUUUGGAAAAGAAUGAUUGAACUAGAGACACCACAGAUGAUUUUCAACCCUUACGGAGGGAAAAUGGCUGAGAUUCCUUCGACGGCGACUCCAUUCCCGCAUAGAGCUGGAAACUUAUGGAAGAUUCAGUAUGUAACAAAUUGGAAUGAGCCAGGGACAGAUGCAGCAAAUCGCUAUCUAAAUUUGACGAGGAAACUUUAUGGUUACAUGACUCCUUUUGUGUCCAAGAAUCCAAGGCAAGCAUUUUUCAACUACAGGGAUAUAGAUUUGGGUAUUAAUCACAAUGGGAAAGCAAGCUUUGAAGAAGCAAAAGCUUAUGGUAUCAAAUAUUUCUUGGGUAAUUUUAACAGGUUGGUGAAAAUCAAGACCAAGGUUGAUCCUGGGAAUUUCUUUCGGAAUGAACAAAGCAUUCCUGUUCUUCCACAUUAGAAUGAAGUUGAAUAUGUACUCAAUUACCAGGAAUUAAAUGUUUCAUUAUUCUAUUUUAUUGCUUGUAAUAAGAUGAAGAAGAAUAAAAAAUUGUUGCUUUUGAAAAUAAAUUAGAUACGCUACGCAUGUAUUGUUAUCUAUCCAGAAUCUAUUCGGCUAUGUGAUAUUUUGUUCACUAAUGUUAUGCUUAUAAAGUUGUUGUAGAAUUUGUUACCUUAAUUGAUGUGGCAUACGACAUGAUGUUAUUGUAAUUUUCUUUUGUGUUAAUUAGAUGGAUCUUGUGUGAAAGCCAUGUGUAUGCCAAAUAAGAAAUUUAUUGUUGUUGUUGUUGUUGUUGUUGUUAUUUUAAGAUUGCCAUGCACCCCACUUCCACUCUCUACCCAAAUUAAAAUUCUCUCUUUAAAUUUGAAUUCUUGAUUACUAAUUUUUAUCGCAAGGUGUCAAAUCAACUUGCGAAUUAUAGUAAGGACAUUUUCAUGUUAAUAAAAUGAGAAUAUUACUAAAUAUAAAAAAAUUAAUUUAUUCAGGUUUAUACAUAUAUUAGAACUUACGCGAGAUCACUAUAUAUAUAUAUAUAUAUAUAUUGAAAUACUAGUUAUGCAACCCAAGAGGGGGGCGAAUUGAGAUUUUAAAACUUAAGCUAAACAAACCACACAACAAUUCAAUUUAUUACCUUAAUGAAAUAAAAAACAAUAAAUUUAAUAAAGCACAAUAAUAAAAGAGUAAGGGAAGAGAGAGCAAACACAAUGAUUUUUAUGUGGUUCGGCAAUCCCGCCUAUAUCCACACUUCCAAGCCAACCAAACUUGAAGAUUUUACUAUCCAACCCUCCCAAGGCUUCAAAUUCUUUACAAUUGACUUCAGAGGUGUCAAUAAACCUUUACAAUCAAGAGAUUAUCUUCCAAUCUCUUUACCCAAUGUUUCUCACACUUAUACACUCACAAAUUUGAUGAGAAAAUAAAGAUUACAAUAAAAACUCUCUUUUAGAGUGGAUAUACAAAUUAUAGCACAAUCAUGAUUCAAUAUAUGAUGAUUUGCGAAAUGGAAGCUCAAUAUAUGUUGUAUGCUUUUUGUUUUUGCUUGCAAAAGUCUCUAAAAAUGAAUUGAAUUUGAGUUUAUAUAGUUUCAGCCCAAAAACUAGUUGUUAUAGACUUUUUUUUGAUAACCAGCUUGUCGUUUUGUGUUAACCGGCUUGCCGUUUUAUGUUACUUUUUUUUUUUAUAAGUAUGUUACCGUUAUAUUCAAAUAUUUGAAUUUUUGCACAUUCGGUUUGCCGCUUUUCAUUUUCUGGUUAGCCGCUUUUAUUCCAGAGAGCUUCUGCUUGAAAACUGAUUUGCUGCUUUGGUAAAUCUGGUUAGCCGCUUGCUACAGUAAAUGGCCUAUUUUCUAAAAUUAUUAUUUUACCCCAAAACUUUAUAAAAUUAUAUUAUCAUCCAAUCUUUAUAAAAACUUUGCAAAUAUGUCCAUUUUUAGAAUUUUAAAACAAUACUUGUUGAUUUCAAAGUUCUCAAAAUUUUUUAAUUUAAACUAUAAACUUGAAAACAACUAAUUUCAUAAAAUAAUUUUCUUGUUAUAAAAACAUAAUGUGUAAUUUUUUAUUUAUCCAAAACAUGCAGUUUGUUAUCAUCAAAAUCAACAUUUUAUAAUCAUAUAGGCUAACACACACACACACACUAUGUGUGUAUUCUGUACAUAUGUACAAUGAUUACAAUGAUUAACAUUACUUUUUAUUGUUUUGUUUCAGAAAGAUACUGAAAAAAGAAAGGUUAUUUAGUUUAUUUACUUUUUAUGAACCUUAGUGUGUGGGAAUUUAUUAAAAAAAAAAGAUGAAAAGUAGCCACAUUUUGUAGACUUAUUCUUAUUAAUUAGAAGUGAGUCUAAUUGUUAUGGAAAAACUCUAGAGUAUAUGAGAGAUAUUGCACUUAAUAAAUGCAUAUAUACCACAUGUAGUUUAAUUAAAUAUAACUAUUAAUUACAUGGUGAUAUGUCAAAAUAAAUGAACACAUAACAUACAUACAUUAGUUGGGUUAAUAAUCAAAUUAGGAUUCAAUCUUGAACUUAUUUUUUACAAAACAAAGAAUCAAAUGUUUAUUUUUUUUAUUUUUUUUUCUCUUACCUAAUAACCAUUUAUUCUUUUCUCUAUAAAAACUUAGUUUAGCACUCGAUCUUGUAAUCUUCCAUUCUUAUGACAGUGAACAAUACAAAGAAGCAAAAAGAAGAGUAAUAAUAAACACAGGGUCCGGGUGGGGCUCAACAAGUUUUAUUAAUAGGGAUACUUCCACUUGAUAUUCAAGCGUUCCUCUUCUUCUUCCAAGACGAGAGUGGUGGGAUGCUUUGUUCGUUUCUGAAGAAGUUAUCAGGAUCGACGGAAGUUUUCACAUGAACCAACCUAUCGAAAUUGUGGUUGAAAUAUUUUUUGCCCCAAACACUAGCUUCUUUGUAGCUUGUGUAACCUUCGUUAUUUGUACCUAUGUCAAGGUCCCUGUAAUUGAUAUAUGCUGCCCGAGGAUUCUUAGAAACAUAAGGAGUCAUGUAACUGUACAAUUCUCUGAUCCAAUUAAUGUGCCUUUGAGAUGCGUCAAUUCCGUCCUCUGCCCAUAGCACGAGAUGCCCAAUUUCGUAUAUGUUGCCAGCUCUAUGUGGGAAUGGAAUUGCAGACUUUGAAAUCUCACUCAUUUUGCCACCAUACGGAACAAAAAAGAGUUGAGCUGCUUCCGCCUCUACUUUAGAUAACCUCUCAUAAAUUCCUUCCAACGCAAUUCCAGGCAUCGGUUCCCUCACGUAGUCAGAUUUUGCUUUGAAAGCUCUUCUAUCAGAAUAAUUAGUCCUCUGAAGCAAUAUAUCCAAAGAUUCUCCGCUUUCAAAUCCAUUGAAGAUCAUGAUUGAUUGAAUCCAGCUCGUUUCAUUACAGUCUUCUUUCACCAAACCAAGCUCAGGGAAUCUCUCUUGCAUCAAUGGAAGCAGCUUCUCAACUCCACCAAGAAACAAGGAUUGGAAUAUAGCUUCCAUUGUUCUGUUUCCCUCCGUACCGCUACUCAAACUUCUUAAGAAGACCAUGAUAAAUAAAUCUUCUGGAAGUUUAUGAGCAACGUGUUGCCAUCUGUGAACAAGCUUGGUUGCAAUUUGGUCCCAGGGUCUCCGGACUGUGAAUACGGUCACGGUUGAUGGAACGUCCACAAGCUUUAUUUUCCAUGCAACAAUGACUCCAAAACUAGCUCCUCCGCCACCCCGAAUGGCCCAAAAUAGAUCCUCUCCCAUUGAUUUCCUAUCAAGAAAUCUCCCCUGAACAUCGAUCAUACGAGCAUCAACUAUGUUAUCAGCAGCAAGGCCAUAUUUACGCAACAAUAUGCCCCAGCCUCCGCCACUAAUAUGUCCACCAGUUCCUACAGAAGGGCAAGAUCCAGCGGGAAAAGCAAGAUUUGGGCUUUUCUCAGCAAUUCUGUAGUAAAGUUGGCCAAGGGUGGCACCAACUUGAACCCAUGCUGUCUUGUUUUCUACAUCAAUGCUAAUUGAGCUGAGAUUUAUCAUGUCAAUGAUGACAAACGGGGAAUUAUAAGAAGUACGAAAAGAUAGACCUUCGUAGUCGUGACCGCCACUUCGAACUCUAAUUUGCAUGCCGUAUUUCUGGGAACAUUUAAUGGCUGCUUGAAUAUGAGAUACGUGAAUUGGCGUGAUAAUGACCAGAGGCUUUGGGGUGGCCGGCGUUGAGAACCUGAGGUUUUGUAAAGUAAGUUCCAGGACAGAUGAAUAUGAAGAGUUGUAUUGGGUGUAGAUCACUUUAGAAAUGGAAGUGGAGUUCUCAGAAUGUAGAGAAAGGCAUUGAAGGAAACUCUCAUGAGUAUCAGCCGCAGCAGCUAUCAAUUGAAACGAUAGUAGAAGAGCAAGAGUAGAUGGGACAAUCAUAGUGCUUUGAGGCUUCAUUUCUCUGUUGAUGUUCAAUAAGGUGCAGAGGUGCAAGAAAAUUAAUCGCUUAUAUACACCGAUGCAGAGGAUAUUUAACAAUAAAAAAAACAUCUUUAGUAAACUGCGAAUUCUUACACGGUAUCUAGCGUCUGGAGGGAAUUCAAGCAUCUAGAUUGUAUCAGUCAAUAAAUUAAUGAGGUAAAUUAAUUUCUUAAAAGGUUCGUUUGCCUUGUCAAAGACAUUGGGCUCUAUUUUAAUUAACUUUGACCAAUUUUGUGUUACAUUUAAUUACUUCUCGAGUUCUUGAUAUUAUCCCUAUCGGACUGAAGAUAAACAAUUUUAAGAAUUUUGUUAUGAUAUAAGCUUUUUUUUUUUUAGUGAAAUACACUUGGGUAAUUAGUAAUUAGUAGAUGAAAAAUAAAAAUAUUGAACUCUCAAUCAUGCAAUAUCAAUCAUAUGUGACAUCAAAUUUAGUAAAGUUUAAAAGAGCUCAAAUUUAGGGUCCGUCCUAAUUCAUGAUUGGAAAUUAAAAACGUGAAAGAGGAGUGUUGCAUCAACUUGAUUGACGUACAUAAGAGGAAGGCAUGUAAUACACAAUUUUUGAAACAUAUAAUGUAUAUAAGAUCAAAGCGUGUAUUAUAUAAACAAUAGCUAACUAACUACAUCCGAAGAAAGGUCACAGCGUGUAAACCAGAGUUGUCAUGUUGGAUGGCUAGGGAUGUUAUUGGAGAUUAAUUUCUAACUGCGUUAUCAACGAAAUCAUAUUACUAUCGAGUCUAUUAGCAAAGCAUUUAUUCAAUAAUGUCGUUCCCUCUAGAAGAAUUUUCAAUUAAGUAAUUUUGACUGAUGACUUAUUAUUAUUAUAUCCAAUCACGUUUAUACCGUAUUCUUAUCACAGAGAAACCUGGCUUUCUGAUUUAUUUAUUAUUAUUUUCUGUUUUUCUUCUAAGAUGAAUUUUUUAUGCUGACUAUAUUAAGCUUCAAGUUGAAUUUUCUGUAGGUGCAGUCAUCGGUCAGAGUUUUCUUUCCCAUGCAGGUACCCAACUUCUCAUCAUAAUACUGCAAAGCUUUCUAAGUGACCAAGUUUCCCAUAAGUAAUUGAAACAUUCGAAAAGAUCAAAUGAGACUAGCAUAUAUUACAUGCGUGUAGUUUAUGUAGGAUGAAUCUAUAUCUGGUAAAUAGUCAUCGGUUUUCUGCAGUGGUUACUAAAAAUGUUCAGGGAGGUAAAAUUAUUUAAAUAAUAAUAAUGUUGAUGCGAGAUUCCGGUUCUCCUCGUUCUACGACCAGGAUCUCUGCUCGAUCAACUUUACCACGACCAGGAGGUCUCCUAGUAAUGCUUCUUCUCCAGAUGUCCCUGCACACACAGACAAGUCAGAGUACGCCGGUUGUUCUCCCGGCGCAAACCCUCCGACGCUCAAGUCAGAUAUGAAGGUUCGGGGAACGCUUGCCACAGGUCUUAUGGCUUUUUCGUGGUUUUCUCUUUUAUCUUAAAAAUGCUAACCCUUUUACCUUCGUUGGCUAUCUUUUUAUAGGCUUCUCCGAAUCCCCGUUUUCCGCUUUUUGCCAGACGGUACGGGACUCUGACUGCUGCGUCAUGGGCGAAGGUGGGAUCUUGCGUGUUACGCCACGGUUCUGGGGAAAGCGUGGCUGUCGUGAUUCUGUGAGAUCUUGCGUGUAAUGGGACUCUGACUGCUGCGUUAUGGGAAAACGUGGGAUCUUGCGUGUUACGCCACGGUUCUGGGGAAAGCGUGGCUGUCGUGCCUAGAUUCUCGGGCUGGAGAGCAUGUCUUGCCAACUGCCAUCGACCGGGUCUCCUCGCUUCUCGACCUCUAGCCGGAAUGAUCUUAUGCCUCUUACAGGAAAUUGACCUCGCGGAUGACGUGCUCGUGGACGAGCAGGAUAUUUCUGCUCCUGUUCCCCCGCGCAUCAGGCUUUUACGGAACACACCGGCUCGAGGAACUCUGCCCCCAGAUAUCUGCUCACCAUGCCUGGUCUCGUCGACGUAUUUCUCCUAAACACCGGUCCCCCAGUUUCUGGUGUUGGGUAAUGUAGUGGACCAGCAGUAGAAACUCGAUAGUACUCGCUCACGUGGGACUGGAAAAUGCUGCCAAGAGUCAUGUCGCAUUUAAUUGCGGACGGGGUGACGUGGCGGAAAUCCCCCCCUCCAUUUGAAUUUCAAACCGACGGUUAUGAGGCCCUCGGGAUUCGGCGCUGUUAAAUGCUGGCAACCCAAGAGUCCGUCCCCAUUAGAAAAACCAAAUCCUCUCGAACGGCAUAUUCAUCAUCCACUCCGUCUCCGUCUCUGUCUCUCCGGCAAAGAAGUUCCGGCAUAAAAGUCCUCCAUCUCUGAUUUUCACCGACUGAACCAUUACUUCAGGUAUUUCUUCUAUCUCCUUGGCCUCGGAUAGUUGUAGAUAAUUUCUCUUUUCUUCUGUUUGGGUAGUAGUUGGUGGUAUUGUGGUUAGAGCUUAGGGAAUGUCGAAAGGCAAAGAGAAGGUCAUUGAGGUUGACGACGACGAGUUGGACUUCCUGCCUAGUCUGCUCACCGACCCUGCUUUUGACCCCGGGAUUCCCUUAGAGCCCACUAGGUCUAGUGUCGGGACUAGUGCUAGGAGGAUGUCUCCCCAAACAACCUCUACGAGCGGAAGUAGUGGUGAGGAGAGAUCUUCUGACUCUGAGGAUACGUUGAGUGAGAAUGGUGAAGGUGAUUCUGGUGAGGUGUCUCCAUCUAGAACAUCACGACCAGGAGAACGGGGUACAGUAGGAGGCAGAGCCUUGUCGCGCGAUUAUGCCAUUGAUUACAUGACGUGCACGACCUCGUUUGACGAGCUCAAGGACCUCCGGCUUAGGUAUAGCAUUCCUGGUGAGAUACCUCUCAAGGUCCCAGGAAAGAAGGAUGCUCCCAGCCGGCCUCCUAGGGGAUACGUUACCCUGUUUUUAGAGAACUUUAAGUACGGGCUGAGGUGUCCCUUGCAACCCUACUUUGCCCGGAUACUUAACGGGCUAAACCUAGCUCCUGGUCAGCUGAAUCCCAAUGGGUGGAGAGUGCUCUCUGGUCUGUUCAUAUUGUGGGACAGAUGUUGCCAGAGCGAGCCCACGGUUGAUGAGGUGAGACACCUGUACCAGCUAAAGAGCAGCCCCAAAGAUGCCGGCUGGUACUACUUCCAAUCUAGCACCAAGAGCAGGAAACCUAUAACCGACCUCCCCACUGGUGGUGGUGGGAAUUGGAAGAGAAAGUUCUUUUUUGCUGGGGGUCCUUGGGGUCAGGUUGCACAAAUGGACGGGAAGGAUUAUCGGGUCCCACCCCGUUUCACGGUCCCAGGUUGCCUGCUUGCUUUUAGAUGUCUUGUAUCCAUAAGUGUUCUUGCUUUAUUGGCUUGUCUCUAACCAAGUGUCUGUUUGUGUUGUAGUUUCUUGGGGUGUUCAUUUCCCGCUCCCACCCGACCAGCUCAAACGGGUCGAGGCCGUGCUCGCCAAUUCCUGCUCGAGCCGGGAACUGUUAACUACGUACAACUUGCUCGAGUCUCGCUUGAUACUUCCUGGCCAUAGGAUGGAGGACGCUGUGAUUGGGGCUCUGACCCGAAAACGUUCUCGACCCCCAACCACGAAGAGGGACCAGAGUAAGGAUGCCCCUGCGGCAAAGCGGGCCAACAUCGUGCAGCAGGUCCCACCCUUGAAGAUUUUACCUCCUGCUCCCGUAAAAAUUGGGGAAGCUGGUGGAGCUGCCACAGAUCCUGCUUCCUCUCCUCCUCCUGUCGGGCCCCGAUCUCACUUACCUGACAGCCGAGCAGAACAUCUGGUCCCCUACUUCAAUGAGUUAACUAAACUCGUGAGCAGGAAGGAUCUGGAGGACUUUGACGGCCGCACCUUGGGUGAGUUGGUGGGGGCCAUGCAGCAUAGCGCUUUCCACCUCAGCUGCAUGACCACCUAUUACAAGGCUAAGGUUGGCCGCUAUGACCGGAAGAUGAAGGAGGAUAUUCAAUCGGCGACGACCAGAGCUGAUGUUGCCGAGAAGAAAGCAGGGGAGCUGAAUCUCGAGAAUCUGAAGCUGAUGGAGCAAGAAUCACUUGCUCAAGCAAAAGCCAUCGCCCUCGAGGAGGAGCUUAUCAAGGUCAGGGAGGAUCUGCGAAGGCAGAAGGCAAUGUAUGAGGCUCAGCUCGAAUCUCUUCGCGACUCCCACCGAGCUCAGGUCGAGAACUUGGAGAGGGAGGCCGACAACCAGUACGACCAGGGACUUCGGCAUUCCUAUCGUUGCAUCAUGGCCGUCCUCGGGAAGCAACACCCUGAUCUGAAGAUGGGUGACCUUGCGGCUGGUGUUGCUCAACAUAUGGACGAGGAGGCGGCCAAGGAGGAUGCCAAAGGGGUAGAGCCGAUCGUGAUAGAGGAGGAAAGCUCUCCUCCUCAUGUAGUCCCUGCUGAUGUUGGCGAGGCGAGCACCCACCCCGAUGCCUCUAGUGAUACCCCUCCUGCACCUGAGGAGGUCCAGCCAACCGAUGCUGCUGGGCUCACUGAUCCACCAUCUUCUUGAUAUAUUUCUUGUAUUGUAAUGACAAUGUUUAUGAAGAUUAUUCCCUCUGUUAAUUAUUAACAAAUUAAUAAAAAUGUUUUUGAUCACCUUCUUGUGUCGUAAUUACGAAUUAAUUUUCGUUUGAGAAUCUGCUUGUCUUUGUCUAGACGAGCAGGUUCCGGCUUGGCUCAUGGUUUUGCCACAUGCCUUUGAAAAUUUUUCAAUGCUUGGGAUUCGGUUUGCCUUCGCGCAGUUGAGCAGAUCCUGGCACGCUUGGCUUCUGUCUCGCCAUAAGAUAGGCUUUGAGACUUGACGAGCCUUUGCAUGCCUUGGAUUCUUCAAAGCUCAGGAUUCUGCUGCCUUCUCAUGGCCGAGCAGAUCUUGGCAUGCUUGGCUUCUGUCUCGCCAUAAGACAGGCUUUGAGACUUGACGAGCCUUUGCAUGCCUUGGAUUCUUCAAGGGUUGGGAUUCUGCUGCCUUCUCGUGGCCGAGCAGAUCCUGGCAUGCUUGGCUUCUGUCUCGCCAUAAGACAGGCUUUGAGACUUGACGAGCCUUUGCAUGCCUUGGAUUCUUCAAGGGUUGGGAUUCUGCUGCCUUCUCGUGGCCGAGCAGAUCCUGGCAUGCUUUGCUUCGGUCUCGCCAUAAGACAGGCUUUGAGACUUGACGAGCCUUUGCAUGCCUUGGAUUCUUCAAAGCUCAGGAUUCUGCUGCCUUCUCAUGGCCGAGCAGAUCCUGGCAUGCUUGGCUUCUGUCUCGCCAUAAGACAGGCUUUGAGACUUGACGAGCCUUUGCAUGCCUUGGAUUCUUCAAGGGUUGGGAUUCUGCUGCCUUCUCGUGGCCGAGUAGAUCCUGGCAUGCUUUGCUUCGGUCUCGCCAUAAGACAGGCUUUGAGACUUGACGAGCCUUUGCAUGCCUUGGAUUCUUCAAAGCUCAGGAUUCUGCUGCCUUCUCAUGGCCUAGCAGAUCCUGGCAUGCUUGGCUUCUGUCUCGCCAUAAGACAGGCUUUGAGACUUGACGAGCCUUUGCAUGCCUUGGAUUCUUCAAGGGUUGGGAUUCUGCUGCCUUCUCGUGGCCGAGCAGAUCCUGGCAUGCUUGGCUUCUGUCUCGCGAUAAGACAGGCUUUGAGACUUGACGAGCCUUUGCAUGCCUUGGAUUCUUCAAGGGUUGGGAUUCUGCUGCCUUCUCGUGGCCGAGCAGAUCCUGGCAUGCUUGGCUUCUGUCUCGCCAUAAGACAGGUUUUGAGACUUGACGAGCCUUUGCAUGCCUUGGAUUCUUCAAGGGUUGGGAUUCUGCUGCCUUCUCGUGGCCGAGCAGAUCCUGGCAUGCUUGGCUUCUGUCUCGCCAUAAGACAGGCUUUGAGACUUGACGAGCCUUUGCAUGCCUUGGAUUCUUCAAAGCUCAGGAUUCUGCUGCCUUCUCAUGGCCGAGCAGAUCCUGGCAUGCUUGGCUUCUGUCUCGCCAUAAGACAGGCUUUGAGACUUGACGAGCCUUUGCAUACCUUGGAUAAUUUCUUGGUUUCAAGCGUAAAAUUGCUUCAUUAAUGGCAGGAUUCGACUUACAUAAAAUUGUUUGGGACAUAAAGCGUAAAAGAUAAACGAUAAUGAGCAUGAGCAGAAGUAGCUCUCAAAUGUGAACAAAUCUUACUGGAAGUACCUUCGGAGGUGUGCUGCGUUCCAUGGGCGUUUCACCUCGUGGCCGUCCGCGCGAACCAGCCUGUAAGCUCCGGUUCCCGCUAUCUGCUUGACUCUAUAUGGCCCUUCCCAAUUCGGUCCCAGCACUCCUUGAGUCGAAUCUUUGGUGCUCUGAUUCACUCUUCUCAGUACCCAGUCUCCGACCCUGAAUUGCCGUAUGUUCACCUUCUGGUUAUAAUACCGAGCAACCCUCUGUUGGUAAGUGACUGAUCGCUCGGCUGCUUGCUCCCUCUUUUCCGUCAGCAGAUCAAGAUUCAAACAUAUCUGCUCGUCGUUCUCCUGCUCAUUGAAAUGAUUUGUCCGGUGUGUGGUUGUUCCUAUCUCAGCCGGCACGACUGCUUCGUGUCUGAAAGCCAAAGCGAACGGUGUCUCCCCCGUUGCGGUUUUGUGGGUUGUUCUGUAUGCCCAUAGCACACCUGACAGCUCGUCAACCCACGCACCCUUUUUUGCACCAAGCCUGGUUUUCAGAAGCCUCUUGAUGGUCUUGUUGGCUGCUUCUACUUGUCCAUUCGAUUGAGGGUGAGCAGGCGAGCAAUACUUCAGCUCUAUCCCAAGGUUCUGGCAGAAAUCCCUGAAGCUGUGAUUAUCGAACUGCCUGCCAUUAUCCGUUACCAAGGCAUAAGGGAUCCCGUAUCGACAGACCAGGUUUCUCCACACGAAGUCUGUUGUUUUCUUCUCCGUGAUCCUGCUAAGGGCUUCCACCUCUAUCCACUUCGUGAAGUAAUCUAUAGCAAUUAUUGCAUGUGUUGCUGCUCCUCGUCCUUUUGGCAAUGGGCCGAUCAGAUCAAUUCCCCAUUGAGCAAAUGGCCAAGGGGAGGCCAUAGAGGUGAGCUUCUCUGGUGGUUGGUUGGAGAAAUUUGCAAAACUCUGGCAGCUUGCACAACCCCUGGUCUUCUUUUGCGCAUCUUGGUGCAUUGUCGGCCAGAAAUAUCCCUGCCUUAGGACCUUGUGGGCCAGGGACCUCCCGCCAGAAUGAUUUCCGCAAAUUCCUUCAUGUACUUCUCUCAGCACGUAAUCCGCGUCGUCGUCAUCCAAACACCGAAGGAACGGUAAUGUGUAUCCUCGCCGAUACAGUACCCCAUCGAUCAUCGUGUAUCUCGAGGCCUGAGCUCUAAUCUUCCGAGCUCGCAGCUUAUCUGGUGGUAAUACCCCGUCUCUAAGGUAUGAAACUAUCGGGUCCCUCCACGAGCAUUUUUGUUCUAUCCGCAACACCCCCAAAUUCUGCUCGAUACUUGGGCUGGACUUCACUUCUAGAGGGACCGACUUUGGCAUUUUUGGGUCGGCUACUGCUGCCAUCCUAGCCAAAAUGUCUGCUCGACUAUUCUGCUCCCUGGGGAUUUGUAUCACCUCCACUGCUUCGAACUUCCCCAUCAUCUGCCUGACUAUCUUCAGGUACUCUUCCAUCUUCUCCUCUCUUGGUUGGAAUCUUUCACUGACAUGAUUCGCGACCAGCUGGGAAUCAGUUAUGAUCUUAACUCUGUCUGCUUUCACGGCCCUAGCCAAUUCCAGGCCUGCUAUCAAGGCUUCGUACUCUGCCUGGUUAUUUGUGGCUGAAAAUUCCAACUUUACAGCAUAAGAGAUCUCCUCCCCCUCUGGGCCUUCCAGGACAAUCCCUGCUCCUGAACCCCGCUCCCCUGAUGACCCAUCUACAGACAUCUGCCAUACUUGAGUUUCGUCAUUGCCUAUAACUGCAUCUUGUUGACCUAAGCAUGUUUCGGGCUCUAUGAAUUCAGCUACGAAAUCGGCCAUUGCCUAGGCCUUUAUCGCUGCGCGGGGCUUAUAGUCUAUGUCGAACUCGCUCAGCUCCACAGCCCACUUGACGAGCCGCCCAGGGGCAUCUGGCUUGUGCAGAGUCUGACGCAAUGGCUGGUCUGUUAUUACCGAGAUCGGGAAGGCUUGAAAAUAUGGCCUCAACUUCCGAGCAGCAACCACAAGGGCAAGUGCCCAUUUCUCCAACGGUGGGUACCUGGUCUCAGCGUCGAGCAGGGCCUUGCUGGUGUAGUAUAUCGGAUACUGAACUCCUUCUUCCUCUCUCACCAGAACAGAACUGGCGGCCCGAUCCGAUACCGCCAAAUACAGAUACAACUUGUCCCCAUUCCUCGGUGUGGACAGCAGCGGAGCUUGCUGCAAGUAUUGCUUCAAGUUCCGGAAGGCUUCCUCGCAUUCUGGGGUCCAUUCUGUUUUCUUUCCCCUCCUUAUCACUUGAAAGAAUGGCUGACACUUAUCUGUAGCUUUGGAUAUGAAUCUGCUCAACGCCGCCAACCUCCCCGUGAGGCCCUGCGUCUCCUUCAGGUUACGAGGAGACGUCAUUUGCACAAUCGCCUGGAUUUUCUCGAGAUUUGCUUCAAUCCCCCUAUGGCUCACCAUGAAUCCAAGGAACUUCCCUGACUCGACCCCAAAAGCACACUUCUCCAGAUUGAGCUUCAUCUUAUACUUCCUCAAAAGCUCGAAUGUCAUCCACGUACACCUCCAUGGUUUUCCCGAUCAACGGCUUAAAGACUUUGUUCACCAGCCUUUGAUAGGUGGCCCCAGCAUUCUUGAGACCGAAUGGCAUCACCCUGUAACAGAACAAACCUUGGUUAGUGAUGAAAGUCGUGCUCUCCUCAUCCUGCUCGUACAUGGGGAUCUGGUUGUAUCCCGAGAAUGCGUCCAUGAAGCUAAGCAGACCAUGUCCAGCUGUUGAAUCUACUAGCUGAUCGAUCCUUGGUAAAGGGAAGCUGUCUUUUGGGCACGCCUUGUUGAGGUCUGUGAAAUCCACACACAUCCUCCACUUGCCGUUUGCCUUCUUUACCAACACCACAUUUGAUAUCCACUCUGGGUAACUGACUUCCCGAAUGAACCCUGCUCUCAGGAGCUUCUCCACCUCGUCAUUUACAGCCUCAUACCUCUCCUGGUUGAAGCACCUCCUCUUCUGCCUUACUGCCCGAGCACCUUUCUUUAUUGCCAGCUUAUGACACGCUACCUCAGGGUCAAUCCCUGGCAUGUCUUCAUGUGUCCAGGCAAACACAUCAGCAUGAGCCUGUAAGCAUUUCACCAACUCCUGCUUUUGCUCUCCCUUCAGUCUCGACCCGAUUCUGAUCGUCUUUCCCGGGUUCUCUGGUCCCAUGCUUACCGUUUCCAGAUCCUCUACAGGUUCUUGUCUGCCAGUCUUGUUUUCCACUCGGGUAUCGAGGGAUGUUAUCUGCAUUGCCUCCCUUGCUGCCGAGGAGUAGCAGCUUCUUGCGAUCCUCUGGUCUCCUCGUACCACUCCUACUACCCCAUUCACCCGGUACUUCAGAGCCAGAUAAUGGUUGGACAACACCGCUUUGCUCAUCCUUAAAAAUGGCCGACCUAGGAUCAUCUGGUAAGGACCUUCCUCAUCCACUACGACAAAGUCCAGUAUCAUUGUUCUUUCUGUCGGUGGGCUCCCAAUUGUGAUAGGUAGUUCGACCACGCCCAGAGGAACCAGCUUCCCUCCUUCGAACCCCUUCAAGGAGGUGUUGGUGUAUUCCAACUUUCGGUCGGCUAUUCCCAUCUCUUUCAGGGUUGACUUAAAUAACACAUCAACUAAGCUCCCUGUAUCAACCAGUAUCCGGUCAAACUUCUUGCUAGCGACCGUAGCCUUGAUGACUAAGGCAUCCUCGUGGGGGUAUAGGAUCCCUUCCUCAUCCUCAUCCGUCCACAUGAUUGGCACUUGCCUGACCCUUGCCCGUUUGGCUGCUGGGGUGUUGAGGAGUACCUCUUUACUGGUCAUGGCGUACCUAGCAUAAUUUUUUCUCGAUCUGUUUGAAUCUCCGGCCAACGUUGGGCCCCCCGCUAUCACCCUUACUGCGGGCUGCUCGUGCCUCAAGAUUCUAUCACUCUGCUCCCCUUCAUCUGUUGCGGCCACCAUCGGGAAAGUCCCAUCCAUAAACUCGUCCAGGUACCGAUUUCUCACCAAAUCUUCGACUUGGGUCUUGAGAUCUCUACACUCUGCUGUGGUAUGGCCAUGGGUGCCAUGGAACUUACAAUAACGUCCUCUAUCCCUCCUGUUGGGUAGCUUUGUUAUUGGUGUAGGGAGGUGCAGCAGCCCUCGAUCCUUUAUGGCCUCGUACACCUCAUCCAGGGACAUCUUCAAGGGAGUGUACCGCCCAUAAUCCUGGUGCUGGUCGAUCCGAUGUACUGCUCUUUCUCUGUUUGCCCCGCUCUGAGUUGGGGGCGGUGGGAGUACUUCUGGUCUGCUCGCCCUGCUACCGUGGGAAUGUUGAUGAAGACCACCAGAUGCCAGAUCAUUUCUUGUCCAAGGUUCCCUAGCUGGGGAACGAGGAGGUUGCGCCCUGCUGCGCUGAUACUGUGGUGGCCUCUGAUGAGGCUGGUAAGCAGUGACCCUGCCUCCUGCUCCACUACCGGAGGCCUGGUGGUCCCUCCUCCUGAUCGGCCCGUUCCCUGGUAAUGCUUUCAUCUCUCUCCUCCCCAACCCUUCUAACUGGUCUGUCUUGAUCCGUGCAGCCUUCUCCUCUUCAAUCUCGAUGUCUCUUUUAGCCUGUUCGUAUGCGGCCGCAUACGUUUGAAUAGCUGGGCUUCUCAAAUUGUACCACAGCCUUCCUAUCUUCACCCCUUCUUUCAAUCCCCUUAACGCCUGAGGGUGGUUGAAGGCUCCCAAGUCGAGGACAGCCCGAUGAAACCUCUUGAUGAAUUCCCGAAGGGUUUCUUGCUCCCCCUGUUUCAUGCUUUUCAACUCCAUCGUGUCAUCUUCCGGUGACAUUGCCCCACUGAACUGCUCCGCGAAUUCCUGGCACAUCUGCUCGAAGGUUUUAAUGCUGCCCCGAGGAAGUUUCUUGUACCAUUCUCGUGCACGUCCCUCAAGGGAUAGUGGGAACACCCUGCACCUUUGGGAUUGAGAUAAUCCUUGUACCCCAGUUAUGUCGUUGAAGCGCUCUAUGUGCAUCAGCGGGUCAGUUCUUCCCGCGUAUCUGAGGUCGGGGAGGCGGAAAUCUCUCGGAAUAACUGCCCUCAUGAUCUCUGCUGCGAGCGGUGAUUCUCCGUCCAGCAUUAUCCUCCAACCAGGGGCUCUGUUCCUCCCUUGCAUAUCGUCAAUUAUCUGCGCUAGUCUGCGCACUUCCUCCUCCAGCUGCCCUGCACGACCAGGGUCACGUGCUGCAACUUGAUCCCGCUCUUGCUCUACAUCUUGCAAGUGUUGCCUCAACUCGGUUUCCUCUGCAUUCACCACCCCGUCGUCCGCGUCACAAGUCUGUCUUGCCGGGGACCGCUCUCUUUCUCUAUGAAAUUCUCCCCGUAGAGGUGCGUUACCUCUCUCACCACCAAAUCUCCCUGUGGUUUGACUUCUCCCCGCACUAUCGGGACCUGGUGCCACUCCACCGCCUCUCACCCUUCCCUCUUGAGUUACCCUUCGCUCGCUCCGUAGCUCAUGCAGGAAGGUUGUCAAGGUCUCCAUCUGCUUUUCCAUCCGUUCCAUCCGGUCGAACAUGACUUUUUCCCGUGCUUCACUGACUAUCUCCCUCAGCGUCACGGAAUCGUUAAGCCUCAUAUCACCCCCUUGUGCACUACUUCCUCCUGUCUCCAUUGCUUUUCGCUUACUCCACCCCUCUUCUUGCUAUCAACAGAAGCUUUUUGCUCUGGAUCCCCACAGACGGCGCCAAAAUGUUGAUGCGAGAUUCCGGUUCUCCUCGUUCUACGACCAGGAUCUCUGCUCGAUCAACUUUACCACGACCAGGAGGUCUCCUAGUAAUGCUUCUUCUCCAGAUGUCCCUGCACACACAGACAAGUCAGAGUACGCCGGUUGUUCUCCCGGCGCAAACCCUCCGACGCUCAAGUCAGAUAUGAAGGUUCGGGGAACGCUUGCCACAGGUCUUAUGGCUUUUUCGUGGUUUUCUCUUUUAUCUUAAAAAUGCUAACCCUUUUACCUUCGUUGGCUAUCUUUUUAUAGGCUUCUCCGAAUCCCCGUUUUCCGCUUUAUGCCAGACGGUACGGGACUCUGACUGCUGCGUCAUGGGCGAAGGUGGGAUCUUGCGUGUUACGCCACGGUUCUGGGGAAAGCGUGGCUGUCGUGAUUCUGUGAGAUCUUGCGUGUAAUGGGACUCUGACUGCUGCGUUAUGGGAAAACGUGGGAUCUUGCGUGUUACGCCACGGUUCUGGGGAAAGCGUGGCUGUCGUGCCUAGAUUCUCGGGCUGGAGAGCAUGUCUUGCCAACUGCCGUCGACCGGGUCUCCUCGCUUCUCGAUCUCUAGCCGGAAUGAUCUUAUGCCUCUUACAGGAAAUUGACCUCGCGGAUGACGUGCUCGUGGACGAGCAGGAUAUUUCUGCUCCUGUUCCCCCGCGCAUCAGGCUUUUACGGAACACACCGGCUCGAGGAACUCUGCCCCCAGAUAUCUGCUCACCAUGCCUGGUCUCGUCGACGUAUUUCUCCUAAACAAAUAAUAAUAAUAAGGAGACAAAAUGUUCUGCCUUUUUUUUUUUUUUUAUAACUCAAGAAUAUCCCUUUAAUUAUUAGAUCUUAAUUGAGAUGAUAGACUAGUAACAUUUUGGAAGUAAACGUGUCUGAUAACAUUUAAUUCAUAGUUCAACUGGAAUAUUUGGUGGGGUAACACUUUUUAAUUAUUGGAUGGGCUUUUGAACCAGUCAAAUUGAUUGGGCCCUCAGUUUGUUUUUCACCUUAAUCUUUUGAAAAAUACUUGGUGUAGAAAAAUACAAGAGAAAGACGAGAGAAACAAUGAAGAAAUUGGUAGAGAGAGAAUGAGUGGAUAGAGAGAGAUGGUAAAAUUCUCUCGUUUUUUUUUCGUGCUUCUCUCUCUCUAGCACUACUCUAAUUUUUUUUUAGGCUUCAAACAAAGCCUUCUUUAUAAGUGAAAGUGGGAGCCUUUUUCAGUUUUGGCUUAUGAAUAGUAGCCCUGUUUUCUAUAUUAAUAAAUAUUAAAAACAGGGGUGUAAUCCAAUGCACGGUUAAAAUUGUAAAUGGAAAAAAAAAAAUAGUAAUAAUUCUAGCUAGAAAUUGCUAAUAGCAAAAGAAGGGAAAAAAAUACAAAGACACACUCAAAAAAUUUGAUAUUUGAGUAAAUCAAAACUGAAGUGAAAGAAAAAAAUAAAAAACAAAAGAAAAAUUAAUUUUGUCCACCUCCCUUUAAAUCAACAAAUCUUAUAACCAAUUCAAAUUUAUGGUUUCUCUAAUAUGAUUUUUCAAAAUAAAUGCACAUGUAUUAUAAAAUCAUUUACUUGUUGUAUGGAUGAUAUAGUACCUAUAAUAUAUUCAAAAAUUUAUUGUCAAAUAAAAAUGCUUGUUACUUCUUUGUCAUUGGCAAAUGUGUCACUACAUAACCACUUAUUGAAUUACACUCGAUCAACAUUAUGACAUGAUGCUAUAUAUAUAUAUAUGAGUGCUCUUAGUGCAUUACUCUUUUGAAUUUUUAUCCUCAACUUCUUGCCACUGUGUGUUUUUGUGGCAAUAUAUUCGAGUAAACAAGAGAAAACACCAUCGUUUAGUUGUAUAAUAAUUGUGAACAAGAUAAAAUUCAUUGACUCUGCUGAAACAAUUUAAACGAAUGAAACAAUAAAUGAUUUACUCCAGAAAGCUGGAAUUAAAGGAAUUUAAAACAAACGCGUGAAUACAUGAUUUAAUUUAGUUAAUGUUAACAUGAGAGACUCUUGCUUAAGGAUUAUAAUGUCUAAUCGUCUUUUUGCUUCCUCCAAGACGAAAGUGACGGGAUGCUUUGUUCAUUUCUAAAGAAAUUAUGAGGAUCAACCAUUGUCUUCACAACAACCAACCUGUCAAAAUUAUUCCUGAAAUAUUUUCUGCCCCAAAUGCUAGCUUGUUUAUAGCUAGUGUAGCCUCGUAUUUUAUUUGCUCCAAUAUCAAUAUCCCUGUAAUUUAUAUAUGAAGCACGAGGGUUUUUGGACACAAAUGGAGUCAAGAAACUAUGAAGUUUUCUGAUCCAAUUGAUGCGCCUUUCGGCUGUUUCACUCCCUUCUUCGUACCAAUAUACCACUGGGCUCAUUUUGUAUAUGUUACCAGCUCUAUGAGGGAAAGGAAUUGCUGACUCUGGAAUCUCACUCAUUUUCCCACCAUAUGGAACCAACAUUAUCUCAGCAUUCCCGCCCUCUUUUUCGUUGAACAAUUCGAAUAUUCCUUCAAAUGCAAUUUCAGGCAUAGGCUCUCUUACAUAGUCAGAUUUUGCUUUGUAAAACCUCUUGGUGACAGGACUCCUGUUGAGCAAAACGUCCAAGGAUGCCUCAAUUGGGAAGCGUGCGUGGUGGAGCACAGCUCUAACCCAGCCAGUCUCAGUGCAUUCUUUUUCCACUAAACCAAGUUCAGGGAAACUCUUCUGCAUCAAUGGAAUGACUCCAUCGACUCCUCCAAGAAAUACAGAUUCGAAUGAAGCGAUCACCGUCCUGUUUCCUCCCGUACUUGCAUUCACACUGCUAAGAAAUACCCCAGUGAUUAAAUCUUCAUCAAACUUAUCAGCAACGAACUGCCAUCUGUGGACAAGCCGGGUUAAAUUUUGUUUCAAACUUCGGCGGGAGCUGCAUACUGUGACAGUUGAUGGAACAGUAACCAACUCUACUUUCCAAGCAACGAUGACUCCAAAGCUAGCUCCGCCGCCUCCGCGGAUGGCCCAAAACAGAUCUUCUCCCAUUGAUUUUCUAUCUAGUAAUCUUCCCUUAACGUCGACCAAGUGAGCAUCAACUACAUGAUCAGCAGCAAGACCAUAUUUCCUUAACAAUAUACCAUAUCCUCCGCCGCUAAAAUGUCCACCGACACCCACUGAAGGGCAAACUCCAGCCGGAAAGCCAAGAGUGCCACUCGUGUCAGCGAUCUUGUGGUAAAGUUCGCCAAUGGUUGCUCCUGCUUGAAUCCAUGCUGUUGUCUUCUCUACAUCUAUACUAAUUGACCGGAGAUUUAUUAAAUCUAUGACGACAUAGGGCACAUGGGAUAUAUAAGAAAGGCCCUCAUAAUCAUGACCCCCGCUUCGAACCCUAACUUGCAUUCCAUGCAAUUGGGAACAAAAAAUGACUGAUUGAAUGUGGGAUACUUGCAAUGGUUUGACAAUGACUUGAGGUUUCGGGGUGGCUGCUGUUAAGAACCUUCGGUUUUGUAUGGUGAAAUCCAAGAUGGAUGAAUACGAAGAGUUGUUUUGGGUGUAAAUCACUUUAGAAAUGGAGGUGGUGGAGUUGUCAGAAUUUUGCAAAAGGCAUUGGAGAAAAUUCUCUUGAGCAUCAGCCGAAGCUAUUGAAUGAAGUGACAUUAGAAGAGCAAAAGCAAAUGGGAGGAGUGAAGAGCUUGGAGUAGUCUUCAUUUUUGUUCAAUGUAAUUAGUUUGGUACUUGAAAACCCAAAAGAGACCCCUUAUUUAUACAUAUCUCAUCGACAGGCUGGCCGGCUAACUCUUCUGCGCGUCUGAAGAAAGUUCAAGUACUGGCUUGUCCAUUGCCAUUAAUCUCAACAAGAAAUUAAUGAACGGCAAAAUAAGAUAUCGGAAGAUGUAUUUAGCUUAAUUCUUUGACCGAGUAAAUUUUUCUUCUUAAUAAAUUUUCCGAUUCGUUUUCCUAGACAAUGACUUGUAGUACCAUAUGUUGCCUUGCCAGUUUACGGUAUUUGUCUAAAUCUAUCAUGUAACUUGUAUUAGGUAGUUCAUGACGUUGAUUCUUUCCCUUCGAUUGAUUAUUAUUAUUGUGUCGUAACCAUUAUUCAAUAUUCAUCUAAUUGAAUGUUUGUUUGUUUGCGGUAGCCCAACUUCACAUCAUAACUAUACCGUAUAUGGACAGUUGGCCUUGCGGAUAUUACAAUGAUGAAACUUUGAAUGAGUUGAAACAUUCAACAAAAUUGAAAUUAAAUGACACCGAAGCCAAAGGGGAGAGGAUAAAAUGAAAGUCCUCGAGUAAUUUACAUACGUCAGAAAUGACUAAUUCUCGUUUCUUUGUGCAGGCCAAACUUCAAGAUUAUAAUGCGGCUAGCUACGGAUUUAAUGGCUAACUCUGUUCUUCAAUUGUCAUGCUUCACGUAAUAAGAGGAUAAGCCUGAAAUUCUUGAGCAUUGAACCUGAAAGUUUUCAAUCAAUGAAUACUACCUAAAACCAUAAGCAUGAAACCUUCAACAAAUACCAUCAUGUGUGAACUGAUUGACAUGAAACUCCUUAACAUGGAACCUUCAACAAAUACUAUCAUCUCCUCUGUUUUAUUGAAUUAAACCUUCUCUGUUUUGGUUUUAGCAAUAAAAUAUUUUUUGCAAUCUUUAAACUAAUAUGUUAUACAAUUUGAGUAAUGCAAUAACUCCAUUAUUCACAGAACACAGACAUCAUUUGACAUAACGAUUAACAAGCUGCAAUGGGAAGAUUUUUUUUACUCCUGGAAUGAGUAAGAUUACUCCAAAGAUUGAAAAGAAACCAAACAAGCAGAAAUUUAUUUAUUUUUUAUAUAUUUUUUUAUUUAUCAGAUACUUUACAGUGUCUGAGAAUAAAAAUGUAUGCACCAUUCUUCUUCUACCAUGGCAAGUGUGGCGUCACGCUUUGUUCAUUCUUAAAGAAACUACUAGGAUCUACCAAUGCCUUUAUAUGAACCAACCUGUUAAAAUUAUUCUUGAAGUGUUAAACACCCCAAAUGCUAGCUUGUUUGUAGUUUGUGGUGUAACCUUCGUUAUUCAUACCUAUGUCAAGAUCCUUGUAAUUGAUAUAUGCUUCUCGAGAAUCCUUAGAAACAUAAGGAGUCAGGUAAGAGUACAAUUCUCUGAUCCAAUUAAUGUGCCUUUGAGAAGCUUCAAUUCCUUCCUCUGCCCAUACCACUAAGUGCUCAAUUUGGCAAAUGUUACCAGCUCUAUGUCGAAAUGGAAUUUUGGACUCCGAAAUCUCACUCAUUUUCCCACUAUAAGGAACCAAAAAUAAUUGAGUCGUCUCUCCUUCUUCUUCUUAGAACCUUUCAUAUAUCCCUUCCAAUGCAACUUCGCGAAUAGGUAACCUCACGUAAUCAGAUUCACUUUCAAGAACCCUUCGAGGAUAGUGGUCCUUUCAAGUAACACAUCCCGGGAUUCUCUCUUUUGGAAUCCGGCAAAGCAGAGAACAGACUUAAUCCAGCUCAAUUCUAUACAGUCUUGUUUCACUAAACCAAGCACAUGGAAGCUCUGGUCCAUCAAUGGAAGAAGCCUGUCAACCCCACCAAGAAACAAGCCUGAGAAGAGAGCCUGCAUCGUUCUUUUUCCUUUUGCUGUUGCAUCCACUAGUCUUCUUAAGAAUAUUCUGAGGAUUAAAUCUUCAUCAAGUUUGUCAGCAAUGUAUUGCCAUUUGUUAAGAAUCUUAGUUUCAUUUUGUUUCAGGGUUGGACAGUGAAUACAGUCACCGUUUGCGGAACGGUUACUAGCUUUAUCUUCCAAGCUAUGAUGACCCCAAAGCUAGCACCCCCACCUACCAGGAUGGCCCAAAAUAGAUCUUCUCCCAUUGAUUCCCAAUCUAGAAAUCUACCUUCAACGUCAAUUAAGUGAGCAUCGACAACAUGAUCAGCAGCAAGGCCGUAUUUCCGCAAUAACAAGCCGUAUCCUCUACCGCUAAAAUGUCCAUCAACACCCACGGAAUGGCAAAUUCCAGCUAGAAAAGCUAGAAUUUUGCUUUUCUCAGCAAUUUUAUAGUAGAGUUGGCCUAUGGUUGCACUUGAUUGGACGCAUGCAAUUUCAUUUUCUACAUCAACAUUGAUUGAGCUGAGGUUUAUCAAAUCAAUAAUGAUUAAUGGGACAUUGGAAACAUAUGAUACACCCUCAAAGUAAUGGCCACCACCUCGAACUCUAAUUUCCAAGCCAUGUUUCGGGGAAUAUAUUGUGAUAUAGAAGUUAAUCACUUCUACAACCUUAAGGGAGUUACGACCAGCAAGGGGGAACUUAGAUUUCUAAAAGUUAAGAACAAGGAUCGCUAGGUGGGAAUUAAAGCCCCCUCGAGGUGGGAAAUAAUUUUUAAAUAUAUAUAAUAAUAUUAUAUUUUUAAAUAAAAAUAAUAUAUAAUAAUAUUAUUAAUUCUUCAUGAAUGUAAUAAUAUUAUUUUUAACUAAAUAUAAUAAUAUUAUAUUUAAAUAAGUUUAAUAAUAAUAUUAUUAUUAAUAAAUGUAAUUUAUAAAACAAUAUAGUAAUAUUAUGUACAUAAAUAUGAUAUUAUUUAUUUUAUUUUAUUAAAUGUAAUUAUAUUAAAUUUAAUAAAAUAAUGAUAAAAAAAGGUUCCACAUAGGAGUGGGAAUUCCACUCUCUAUUUUAAAAAAUGAGUGGGACUUAUAGAGUGAAUCUCGCUUCUCUCUUAAAAUAUAUAAGUAAACACUAGAGUAAGAGAAAUACACACCCCUCACCCCACUCCAAUAAAUAAACGAUGUCUCGCUAUUUCAUUUUUAGGUUCUCCCUCUCUUUCCUUUGUUUUUUUCUUAAAUUUCUCACUUAAAUUUAAAUAAAGAUUCUUUCAAAUCUUAUUUCGUGUCGGACUUAAUAAUUGAGAAUAUUUUUCAAUUUUGACUUAUGAACAUAUUGUGUCUAGUUCAGCUUUCCCGUUCUUUUCCAAUAAAUUGAAAAUGAUGAUACUGGAUGUAAACAGAUUCAAGCUUGAAAUUGUAAAUGUAGAAAAAUGGAUUUUAUUAGGAUACUAGAAGUAGAAGGUGCUAAUCCACUCAUUACCCUACCUAAUACCUAUGGCUUGAUUUGCGACUGUGAGCCUUGUGGCACUUAUCCACUGUACUUACGAGAUUGGAAGAUUGGGCUUUGAUGGGCCUACUCUUUCCGAAAUAUCAAGGGUUAUGUUCUGUAUAGUCUAAGAAAUGAAAUUUGAUACUCAUAUUAUCAGUAGUUGAAGACGAAAAAGAGCUUAUUGGUAAGGGUAGUUUUGAAAGUAAAGGAAAUUAAUUAAAAAGUAGAGACUGAUGAGAAAAAUGAAAGCGGGUCAAAAUAUCAUUAGUCGUUUUGUCUUUUGUGCAUUUCAAUGGAUCUCCAAUUCCGUUCAAUUUUGUGUUGAGAUUAAAAUAAUUUGCAGUAAAGCAUUCAGAGUUUUCAUUCUUCCUUCCUUCGAUGGAUUGAAUGAGUUUGUUGUCUUCUGUUCAAUUCAUAUUAUGAUGUUCAGAUAUUUUGACGUUUAAAUUCAUCGUGGACUCUGAUUUCCGGGUGGUGAUUGUAAAUUAUUAUUAUCUUUUCUCGUAGUAUUUCGUUUCUAAAUUUAGACAUAUUAGCAGCUUAAUUGUGAACAACUCUUUCCGAAAGUGAGUUAAACUAUCCAAUGUUCAUAAGAACUUAAUUAAUGAAAGUUCGUAAACAUUAAAUUAGGCUUCUGUUCAGACUCAAGUUCAGACUCAAUUGAAAAAAUAAAGAAAAAAGUCAAAAUGUUAACUGAACUAAACCUAUCUGAAAUUCAUCGCAAGUAAUUAAUAGAUCGGCACAUUCUGCUUAUCACUAAGUUCAGCAUAUUCUUUUACUCAUCCCACAAACCAAGACAAAUUAAUGAUUCUCCUAAUUCUCAUUCCACGAACUAAACCAAGUCAAAUGAUGUUACAUCAAUUUAGGAAUUGUACUGGUUAGGCCCUUAUUAUCAGAUAUAUUAGAAGUACAGAAAUCUGAUUCAAAACUUUGAUCCAAAAUUAAAUAAAGUUUCAGGUCAGACACCCUAAAAAAUAUGUUAACCAAAAAUUCAACUGAAUUAAACCUAUAGUAAUGACUAAGCCAGAGUUUUGCAAAGUCAUAGGCUCUCAUGCUUGGAUGAUUAAAAAUAUAUCAAAAUAACGAUAGAAAAGUCAGAAAGGAAGUUUCGUCGAAAUAUAUAUAUAAAUUCUAAUAUUUGAGUUUUAACUUAAUUUUUAAUUGUUGUGACACUCAUUUAUUAGAUGCUGAAUUUAUAACUUACAAAUUAUUUAUUAAACUAUUCUAUCGUUUAUAAGAUAAAUCACAUUAGUUGCACAUUAGUUGCAAAUAAGUUAGUACUCAAAUAUUAGGAUACCUUACAAAAACAAGCACAAAUAUUAUUUAAAAAGUUAUCCAUGCCAGGAUUAUUCAAUUAAUUCCGAUUGCAACAUCUGAACCGUCAUUAAGUAUAUAAUAACUCCUGUAAGCAAUGAUUUCAUACUACCAUAAAUAAGGUUGUCUUUGUGCACUCUUACGCAGAAAAACAUCGACAAAUUAAAAUGAAGUCUCCUUUCUCUCCCAUCUUCCCAUUUGUUUUUGCUCUUCUUUUAUCAUAUCAUAUUAGGGUUACUUCUGCCGACUUUCAUGCAACUUCAGCACCCGUUGCUGAUCUUGAGAGUUUGAUUCAGUGCCUUUCUAUGCACUCUGAUAACUCCUCCAUUUCUAAAGUGAUUUACACCCAAAUCAAUUCUUCAUAUUCAUCUGUCUUGAAUUUUUCCAUACAAAACUUGAGGUUCUCAACCCCCAAUACCCCAAAACCUCAAGUCAUCGUCACACCAUUAGACGUAUCCCAAGUUCAAGCAGCCAUUAAAUGUUCCAAAAAGCAUGGCUUGCAAAUUAGGGUGCGGAGUGGUGGUCAUGACUUUGAGGGCCUAUCUUAUGUUUCUCAUGUCCCGUUUGUCGUCAUUGAUUUGCUAAAUCUUAGCGAAAUCAGUGUUGAUGCAGCAGAGCAAACAGCUUGGGUUCAAGCCGGCGCCACCCCUGGCCAAAUUUAUUAUAGAAUUGCUGAGAAAAGUAAAAAUCUUGGCUUCCCAGGAGGGCUUUGUCCUACUGUUGGGGUUGGUGGACAUAUUAGUGGCUGAGGGUAUGGUGCCAUGUUGCGUAAAUACGGCCUUGCUGCGGAUAACAUUGUUGAUGCCCGCUUGAUUGACGCCAAUGGUAGAUUGCUUGAUAGAAAAUCGAUGGGAGAAGAUCUUUUUUGGGCCAUUCAAGGGGGUGGCAUUGGAGCUAGCUUCGGAGUGAUCGUUGCAUGGAAAGUAAGGCUGGUCAUAGUUCCAUCAACUGUGACUCGAUUCAGAGUUAGUAGAAGCCUGGAACAAAAUGCUACAAAGAUUGUUCACAAAUGGCAGUACGUUGCAAAAUAAUCUUCAUGAAGAUUUAUUUAUCGAAGUCAUGUUAGCUAGGGCAAAUUCAACAAUGGCGGCUUCAUUUUCAUCGUUGUUUCCAGGUGGGGUUGAUAGGCUCCUUCCAUUGAUGCAGGAGAGCUUUCCUGAGUUAGGUUUGACCAAAGAAGACUGCAUAGAAAUGAGCUGGAUUGAAUCAGCCCACGAUCUUGCUGGAUUCAAUAAGGGAGACCCCUUAGAUUUGUUGCUUGAUAGGAAUUCUAGAACCAACGGGGUUGCUGAGGAUGCUGCAACCAAUGGUUUUUUCAAAUCAAAAUCGGACUAUGUGAAGCCGCCAAUCCCUGAAAAUGCAUUCGAAGGCAUAUACGAUAACUUUUAUGAAGAAGAUGGAGAAACUGCUUUCAUGCUAUUGGUUCCUUAUGGUGGGAAAAUGAGUGAGAUUUCAGAGUCCGAAACUCCGUACCCGCAUAGAGCUGGCAACAUAUACCAAAUCCUGUACACGGUUACUUGGGGAGAAGAUGAAACAUCUCAAUCACAUAUUGAUUGGAUAAGAAGAUUGUACAGUCACAUGACUCCCUAUGUUUCAGAAAAUCCUCGAGAAGCAUAUAUAAAUUAUAGGGAUCUUGACAUCGGAACAAAUAACCGAGGACACACAAGCAUCAAACAAGCUAGCAUUUGGGGCAGCAAAUAUUUCAAGAACAAUUUCAAAAGGUUGGUUCAUGUGAAGACUAUGGUUGAUCCCUAUGAUUUCUUUAAGAAUGAACAAAGCAUUCCACCACUUACGUCUUGGAGGAAGAAAAAUGGCGAUUAAAAUUUGUUCUCGUUAGCAUUUAGUUAUGAAUCAGACAUGAUAAACUAAAAGUGUUCUGGUAUACACGUCACACGUGUAUUGAUAAAUAAAUUUUACUUUUUGUAAUGGUAUAUUCAGCAUAAAUCUAUAUGUUUUAUUAUGAAUAAAUUAUUAUUUUUUUCUCUUAUUAUUUGUAUCUCUGCCAAAAUUAUUAACUAAGAUUAAUGAAUGUAGCAGUAGGAGAUCUCAUGGCAUUUAGGAAAUCUUGGAGGUAACUGGUAAUGAAGCUUAAUAUAUAUAGUGGAUCAUCUGAUAAAUUUUCCUUUUUGCAUUAUGCACGUCUCAUCAACCAACAAAGUAAAAAAACAAAAAAAAAAAUGUAAGAAAAGAAAUCCAACAGGGAGGCAUAUGUGCUCAAUUCGAACUCGAUUUCGAAAGGGGCCCAUAUAUCAAGAUGCUAAAACAACUGAUAGUGUGAGGAGUAAAGGCCGUAAUUGGGGACAUCUAAGCAUUUCUGUAAAUCUUGGGGGCAAUGGAUAUUUAAGCUAACAACUAGAGGGGCAUCUGAUAAUUUCAUCCUUAACGCCACUCUUGAGCAACGGAGUUUUUGGCAAUGCCGUUGAACAAAAAUGUCAUUUCCUGUAUAUGCGUUGUUGAAUUGCCAACUGAUUUGACGCGUUCAAUUGUGGAACAGUUGACUUCCCUGGCACAUGGAAUUGAGUGGCACGUAACUGCUGGAAAAGAAAAAGGAAAUUGAAAGGAAGAGGGAAGUGUUAUCGAGUUUGAUCCCACUAAACAUACUAUUUGGGAAGGGUAAAGAGUCUUAAUUGUGAUUAUAUUUCGAAUUCGAAUUAGUCGGGGCUCAAUACGAUCGCCGGAAAUUGGAUGGUUUAAAAAAAACAAAAAGUAUCUUUAAAGAAAAAUAUCAUCAAAAUGUGACAGAAUUUUAUCCUUUUAUUUAAUCUGAGGAUUUUUUUUUUAAAUAAAGUGAAAUCAUUAAAGUAAAAUCGCACCUGUAUCUUAUAUAAUAAAUUCUAAAAUAAGUGAUGAUAAUAAAUUCAAAAGGACUACAUUAGAAUUAGAUGGUAAAAUAAUAAAAGAUUAAAUAAUUAUCAGCCUACAUUAUGUUAUCUUUGAUUUUUCAAAAAAUCAGUAAAUAUCGAAUAAAGACCAUGCAAGUUUAAGCUUUCUAUUGAAUAGUAUCUGUCACGGUCCACUUUCGAUGCUUAGAGAUGACAAUAAAUAAAUAAAUAAUGGGAUUUUCUUCAUAUGCAAGAUAAGGUUCAAUGCUUCAUCAUGCACUACCAUUGACAUUUGUUCAAUUUUGCAUAAGAUAUCAUCUUUAAUAAUAUAAAUAAGGGAGAAGGUAUUUGAACUCACACUAUAAUACUCAAUAAGUUCAUGUAAUUAAUAAAUUUAUUAUUACACUUUAAAAUUUUCUUUUUUACUCUAUAAACCCACUUAAAUUUCUAAUAUAUCCUAAUAAAUAUUUUUAACUUCUUUUAUGUUUCCUAUAAUAGAUUUCUUAACAAAUCCUCUUUUUUUGCAAUGAAUUUUUCUUUUUCUUAAGUGAACUGUUAUUUUUAUCAUGAAAUGCUGUAUACAAAGACUUGAGGAAGAAUACUUCACAAUUCACAUGUAAUUAAACUAAUUAUAUUUGAAUUAUAUUGAACAAUAUGAUUAAAAAUGAGUUUGUAAUCUUUAGAUCCUUCUGAAUAAAAUUUUUCUGAAUAAAAAUAUUCAAUGGAAAACUCAAAAAGAAACUUCAAAACAACGAAUAUGGGAGAAGUCUAUGUUACAGAUUCUGUAACAUACAUCCCCCAUUCCAUGCACUCCACGUGUCCCCCCAUGUGGAAACAAAGCAAGCAAAUGGCACCCUUGGGGGCUGGCUAACCUGAUCUGUAUGUUACAGAAUCUGUACCGUAGCCAGCUUCACGAAUAUGAUAAAAAGACCAGAGAACAAUUGAGAGAGGAAGUAGAAAAGGUCAAAAAAUAAAUAAACAUUUAUUUAACUUUACUGAGAGAAAAGUUGUAAAGUAUAAAUAUUGGUUAUUUUAGUAAUUUAAGUUUGGAUAUCUUUGUAAUAAAAAUUUUAUUAAAAAACAGGUGUAAAGAAUAUUACGGUGGUUCCUUCUAUAAAUAAAUGGCAUGGACAUGUAUGCACCCAAAGAAAUAAAGCUUCCUAACUCUGCAAUAUUCCCAUUACUUGGCUUUUUCCUAUCAUCAUCAUUUCAUUGGAUAGCUUCAGCAGAUCCUACUCAUCAAUUGUUUUUCAAUGCCUUUCUCUAUAGUCGUCUCUGUUGGUCAUGGUCUUGAUCGAUAAUUUUGACCAAUUCAUGGUCUUGAUCGAUAGUUUCUUAUUUCUGCCUAGAAGGAUCCUCAAUUCCCACUUGGCGAUCCUUGUUCUUGGCUUCAAGGAAUCCACGUUUUCCCCUUGGAGAUCGUAACUCUUUUGAGGUUGUAAAAGUGACAAACUUCCAUAUCAACACAAGCCCUUAGUUUAUGAUAACCCAUUUUGAAAUUCAAAGAUCUCUGAUUAUGAACUACGAAUUAAAUGUUGUGUUUGGGUUAGAUUUUUUUUAUAGUGUCUAGAAAUAUAGUCGAAUCCAAUCUAUUCAGAAUUUAUUACUGUCGAGCUGACCUCAUAAGUACAACCUGGAGUUUAUGUUGGCGGUCUAGUUUACAAGUACGACCUGAGAUUUAUAUGAAUGACCUGAUUUAAGAAUACCACCUUAAGCCUCCACGAGUAACCGGGAAACUCACCAGUCUGAUCUAAAAGUGAAGUAAUUUGACAUUAAAAUUCAUUUGUCUAACCUAAGAAUUAGCUCGACAUGGAAGAUUAUUGGUUAAAAUAACGUGGCCUAAUCUCUAGGAAAGUUGUGUGUCACGAUUUAUUUAAACAGCUUCCAACUGACAACUACUUGCAACUGUUGAAAAAAGUGGGCUUGAAAUAAAGAGGCAACUACCCAUGAUCAGAAGCCUGUUUAAGCUGAAAAUGGCAACAGAGGUAGAUGUUAGAAAAAUCAACCAAAAAUUCUACAAGUCACAUAUCUAAAAGCAUUAACAUUCCAUACAAGAUUUUAACUCCUCCACCGGAAAAAAUCCAUGAUUUUCACUUUUCACGAUUCUUCUUUCUCAUUUUUCUUUGUCUUAUAUACAAUUUCUGACUUAAACAUUGGAGGGUCUACGAUGGAACCCCACCAACGUAUUCUAACUGUAUUUUCUGAUUGGUAGGUAUAUAAAGUUGCGUUCAAACCGAUGUUUGAGCUUGGAUUCGUGCUGUUAUCCCCUAAAGAAAACAAAUUCAGCUGUUGAGGUCGUUUUUUGGCAUCAACAUGCGGCCUCAUCCAAAUUCGAAAUUUAAAAUUAAAAAUCCUAUCUCUUGAGACACAUGCCAUUCCUAGGCUUUUGUUAUCCUUUACUUUCUAACGCUAAGUCUCUAUUUUCUUAUAUUGUCCAGGUACGCUUCUCUCCUUUCACUCCUUCCUUCAUUCAUUUGUUUUACUUACAUCCUCUAUGGAUCCAUUUGAAACUGAGCUUAAUGGAUCGGGUAAAAAUAUCGGUGAUUUAGAUGCAUCAUCAUGAGUCUCACGCCUCAUCCUUCUUCUAUUCCUCUAUUCUUUACUGCCACAAUCAACAUUGCUGAUGAUGACGACCAAAACGCUCCUAUAGAGGGAUUUUCAGCUGCAUGAUUAGAGUCAAAGGCCAUUUUUGUGCAAUCAACAAAUUGAGGAAACACUUUCACAUUCCUGACUUUAAGGAGCUUAGAAUACCUAACCCUAACGAAAAUAUGGCGGGACCUCCCGAGGGUUCUGUAGCAUUAUAUCUUUCUAUGUUUAAAGUGGGAAUUAGGUUAACUUUGCACCAUUUUGUUCGUUCAUUCUUGAAAUCACUCGAUAUUACCCCAACGUUGCUCAACCCUAUAGUUCAUAAGGCUUUUUUCAAUCACUAUGUGCUUUGGAGACGCUCAGGAAUCGUGACUGACUUUUACUUUGAUAAAUUUUAGAGACUGUACUAAAUCAAAUCCGUAACUAAAAGGAGUGGGUGGUACUAUUUACCUAGUUGGGCUCACAUCAAUCCUAUUAUCCCUCAUGAAUUCCUUGGCCAUAUUAAGGGUUGAAAAGAUUCUUAAUUUUUUGCUUCUGGGAACUGGAGCUCUAAUAAACAUAACGAUAAUGGUCUUAUUUAAACUUCUUUUAAAUUCCAAGUUGCUUUUUCAUCUUCGUGAUUUUAGCAUACUAUUUUUCUCAUCUAAUUUUAUUUUUUCACAAUGAUUUGGCGAUCUCCCCCUGUUUUGUUCACGAGAUUGCUUGGCAACAUUGAGGUUGCCCGAGCCAGCAUCUUACAAUUAGAUGUGAUUUACUUGUUUAGCAGGACCUCCUACCAAGAAGUUGGACUUAUCUCUAUUGGUACAUAGAAUAUUGACUUCUUUAUCUUUUUUUCUUUUCGUAUAUAUAUACAGUUGCCACGCUCAGAUAGACAACAAAAAGAGAAAGAGGCCAGUGAAUUUGCCUCAUAGGAGACUUACUCCUCGAAGGUGUAUAGGUAUUCCUCCUCCAACCCAAUCUUAAUCUUCUGAAGAUCCACCGACUCAGCUUACCUUCCAUAAGGCUCCACAAGCUGAAGAGAAAAAGUCAUCUGCUGACUGGCCUAGGAUUUUUUUAGUACACUUCAACUCUGUUGUUUGAAGACCUCAUAAACUGGACUCUUUAACACAACGAGCUCGAACAUAAUUUGGCUAAUCUCUCCUCUUUGAAGAGAGCGUUUUCUCACCAAGAGUGCCUUCGUCUAAGACAAACCGAUCAAGAGGUUUUAUUUACAGUCUUCAUUGGCAAUGCAUAUAAGGUUGGUUUCUAUUAUUCCUCAUUUGAUUUUACUAUCACAUUCCCCUCCACACUUUGUGUUAGUGAAAAUUCUUCUUUGAACAUUCACAGCCUACUAUGAACAUGAUCAAAGUGUACAAAUUGUACCGCGCCUUGAAAAAUGAAUGUUUCAAAACUAUAGGUGAGAAAAACAAAAUGGCAAGCGAAAUCAAUCAACUAAAGUUUGAACCUGCUUCCCUUAAAUCUAUUCACGAGUCUCUCAAAUUGGAGCACAUCAUUAAUAAUAGGGUGAUCAAGAACAAAGAGGAGGAGCCUAACCAUUUAAGGCAACAACUUCAAGAUAGUUAUCAGAGCCAUGAUAAGGCUUACCUCAAUUCGAAAAUAUUGGGGCAUUGUUUUAAGAGUAGGGAUUGUGUUCUUAUUUUUCGGUGCUUUGUUAGUCUUGUAAUCAACUUAUGUAUCCAUUUUCUUAGUGUUCUUGUGAUUUCCCAUCAUCGGUAAAUAUUAAUUUUCUACUAUAUUAUCAAUAAUAAUGUUUCAUUUAUGUCGCUCUUAUCAAUAAUUUUUAAUUUAUAUAAUUAAAAUUAGAAUUAAUAAAAAAAAUUAUGAUUUAUAUAAUCAAUAAUGUUAAUAAUUAUUAUUAAUUUACAAAUAUAAUCAAAUAAAUAUUUUAUUUUUAAAUAUAUUUGUAUUAAUUUUGUAACUAAAGACUAUAAUUUUUUAAAUAAAGGUAAAAUUACAGUUUGAAACUAUUUACUUCCAAUUUAAGAGAAAAUAAAUACAUGAAUUAGAUUUUGAUUCCGAUUCUAUACUCUCAUUUCAGUGUAAGUAAACAACUUACUCUCACUCUCACUUCACACUCUCAGUCUUAGGAUUCACACUCCUCAAGAUUUAUACUUCAAUUUAAAAUGUAAACUCUACCUCAGUGUUGUUUAAUUAAUGUUUCAAGAAAAGAAUCCCAAGUCAUCAGUGCCUUCACUCAAAGACAAAAAUGAUUUUGAUGCUCUUAGAUUACAUAUAAUGAAAUAAUUAAGUCGUUUACCUUAAAAAAGUAAAAUUUUAGAACACAUUAUAAAUGUUAUGUCAAGCAUACAAUAAGUAAAUAAUACUCUGAUAUGUAUGUAUUUAUUUUUAAAAAUUAUUAUACAUGUGGUGGUUAUUAAAUUUAAGUACACAUAUUAUAUAUGCGUCAAUUGAUUGUAUUGCCUUUAUCGUAUUCUCGAUGUGCUUUAUGAUUCCUCAUCAAAACGGAUUCUUUUUGUUUGGAUCAAUUAAUUUAAAGUAACCACCAUAUAAAUUCACGCAGAAACAAAAAGUCAAUAAAUUCAUUCAGAAACUUUAUAUAUAGUAAGAUUUUUUAAUAAACAAAAAGUUAAUGUCAUAUCAAUGAUAUUACUAACUUGUUGAUAUCAAAUGAUAACGUAGUAUGAAAUUGCUAACAAAAAUGUUACAACCCCUUCAAUAUAAAACCCCAUUUUUUUUCUUUAAUAAGAUUUAAAAAAAAUAAAAUUACAUAAAACUAAAAAUACAAAAUUAAUUAAACCCCAAUUCAUUUAUUUUCAUUUUGAUGUAAUUUCUUCACAGUUCACACCCACACAUUCAUAAAUUCCUCAUUUCCAGUAUCUAAUACAUAUUGGAUUCAAUUAUUUUUUUUUCAGUUCCAAAAUGAUUUUCAAGUAAUUAAGAAAAAAAUUGUAAGUAGUUUAUCAAAUCUUUAUUUAAAAAAAAAUAAAACAAACAAAAUGGGUGAAUAUUUCUUUUACCGAAAAAUAUAAUAAGAAACUAAGGGCAAAAUAACAAAAAUCCAUAAAAGUAAUUGAUUGUGUUUGAAGAAUUAGUAACAACAAAAAAUUAUAUUCGAUUUUAAUUAAAUUUAUUUGAUCUUUUAUGUAAGUUUUAACUAAGAAGAGCUAUCAACAUCAAAAUGGGUUUUCGAAUGAGUUUUGGAAGUGCCAAUAGCAACACUCAUGUGACAAGUACAGUGCCUUGUUUUACCAAAAUCACUCUAUAAUAAGAUAAGAUAUUACAAUUUCGUUUUUCCCGAGAACUUUACUCGUGAAUCCCAACGAGAUAUCUCCCAUAAUAAAAAAUAAUGCAAUCUUCUUGAUCCCAACGAGUUAUUUCCUUCGUGAAAAAUACCGCCCAGAAAUUUAGUAAAAUAGACAUGUGCCACCCUAAAGUGUCUUAUAAAAUUAUAGAUAGUGUUUAGUGAAUAUGACAAAUACCCCCAUAAGGGAAGAAACUAACUACAACUAUAACACUUCUUUCAUGAUAAUAAUGGAAGAAAAAGAAGAAACUCACUAUUUAUUCAUAGUAAAACAGAUGAUAUUUAUCAGACUAUGCAAGGGGAUUCAUGUUGCAAAUUAAUCAUCACAAACGAUUUUAUUUACCAAUUCGUACACAUGUAUCCCUUAUCAUUUUUGUUUCAUUAUGUCUAUUCAUACACAAAAAAAAGACCACUAUUUUUCAUCAUUUUCCUUUUUCUUCCUCCCAGACGUAAGUCGGCAUAGUGAGAGAUAACUUUAUUAAAAAGAAAUCAAUUGAAAUAAAUAAUACACCAUUUCACGGGACGUAAUUAGCCCCACAUUUUAGAAAAAAAAAUAACAGAAAAAAAAAUAAAAAUCUAAAGACGUCGACCCAGAGAAAAAACGAAGAAGACAUAAAAAAGAAGUUGAAUGCUCAUUGAAAACUGUAGCUGCUGGGGAAUCCAUUAGAAUCUUCUGUAAGGAGUGGAGUGGUCUCAGAACAAGUAGACUCAGGACAGCUAAUGCGUAAGUUAUCUAUAAGAGGUGGAAUGCUUUGUUCAUUUCUAAAGAAAUCAUUAGGAUCAACCAUAGUCUUCACAUGAACCAACCUUUUGAAAUUGUUCUUGAAAUAUUUGUUGCCCCAAACGCUAGCUUGUUCAACGCUUGUGUAUCCUUGGUUAUUUGUUCCGACGUCAAGAUCCCUGUAAUUGAUAUAUGCUCCUCGAGGAUUUUUUGAGACAUAGGGUGUCAUGUAACUGUAUAAUCUUCUUAACCAAUCAAUAUGUCUUUGAGAUGCUCCAUCUUCUCCCCAAAAAACUCCGUAAAAUAUUUGGUAUAUGUUGCCAGCUCUAUGUGGGUACGGAGUUUCAGACUCCGAAAUCUCACUCAUUUUCCCACCAUAAGGAACCAAUACCAUGAAAGCUAUUUGUCCCUCUUCUUCAUAAAACUUAUCAUAUAUUCCUUCGAAUGCAUUUACAGGGAUUGGCUCCUUCACAUAGUCUGCUUUCCCUUUAAAAAAAGCUUUUGUUGUACCACUCACAACAACCCCAUUGGAUUGAGAAUCCCUAUCAAGCAACAAAUCCAAGGAUUGUCCCUUUUCAAAUCCAGCAAGAUUCUGGACUGAUUCAAUCCAGCUCAUUUCUGUGCAGUCUUCUUUUGUCAAACCAAGCUCAGGGAAGCUCUCCUGCAUCAUUGGAAGGAGCCUAUCAACCCCACCGAGAAACACCGAUGAAAAUAUAGCCACCAUCAUUGAAUUCACCCUGGAUAAAGUGACUUCGAUAAAUAAAUCUUCAUGAAACUUAUGUGCAACGUACUGCCAUUUGUGAACAAUCUCUGUUGCAUUUUGAUCCAAGCUUCUUGUUACUAGGAAUCGAGUCACAGUUGAUGGAACUGUGACUAGCCUUACUUUCCAUGCGACGAUCACGCCAAAGCUAGCUCCUCCACCACCUCGAAUGGCCCAAAAUAGAUCUUCUCCCAUUGAUUUUCUAUCAAGAAAUCUACCUUUGGCGUCAAUCAAGUGUGCGUCAACGAUGUUAUCGGCAGCAAGGCCAAAUUUACGCAACAUGACCCCAUAUCCUCCACCACUAAUAUGUCCACCAGCCCCAACAGUAGGGCAAAGUCCGGCUGGAAAGCCAAGAUUUUUACUUUUCUCAGCAAUUCUGUAAUAAAGUUGGCCAAGGGUGGCGCCUGCUUGAACCCAAGCUGUUUGCUCCUCUGCAUCAACACUGAUUUCACUAAGAUUUAGCAAAUCAAUGAUGACGAACGGGACCUCAGAAACAAAAGAUAGACCCUCAAAGUCAUGGCCACCACUUCGAAUCCUAACCUCCAAGCCAUGCUUUUGAGAACAUUUAAUGGCUGCUUGAACUUGGGAUACGUCUGAUGGCGUGACAAUGACUUGAGGUUUGGGGGUGUUGGGUGUUGAGAACCUGAAGUUUUGUAUGGAAAGAUUCAAGACGGAUGAAUAAGAAGAAUGGCUUUUUGUGUAAAUCACUUCGGAAAUGGAGGAGGCGUUAUCAGAGUGCAUAGAAAGGCAAUCAAGAAAUAAAUUAUCAUCGUAAUGAUCAUCAAGCACUGAAGAAGUUGCAUGAAUGUUGGCAAAAGUAACCCAGCAAUCAUACGAUAAAAGAAGAAUAAAAGCAAAUGGGAUGAUAGAAGUGCAAGAAGACUUCAUUUCUGUUGAUGUUUUGGUGCAUAAGAGUGAAUGAGACCCCCCCUAUUUAUAUUGUACACUCCAAAAGCUUAAACUACCUCGUUCAACACGAAAGGUCAAUGAUAUUGAUAAUCAAGCACAUCAAAGUUUACUACGGAAGUUAAUUAGCAAUUUCCCAAUGUCACAGCAAACCAUCGGCUGCCCAAACCGACUUUGAAGUUUGAUUUGACCAUUAAACCACGUGUACCCUUGAAAUUACAUUUUUGUUCAACAACAAAAAUGAUGCCAAAGACCCCGUUACACAUAGGAUGGCGUUAAGGAGAAAAUUAUCAGAUGACCUUCUACUUUUUAGCUUAAAUACCUAUUACCCGUAUGUUUUUUAGAAAUGCUUAAAUAUCCCCUGCUUUUUUCACAUUUGUUCCUUAUGAGUUGUUCAGCAUCUUGAGUUGUUUCAGCAUUUUGACUAACGGCCUCUUUUGAAUUUGAAUUCAAGCUGAGCCCAUUUUUUCACCCCCACUGCCCGUUGGUACUCAUUUGUUAUUAUUAUUAUUUUUUAAAAAAUACUAAAAAUCCAAAUAUUUAUAUUUUAAUUCAUUUAUAGCCAUGUAUAAUAGCACUUUUACUUUCAUAAAAUUCAUCAUCAAAUCAAUAAUUGACACGUGUCAUUAGAUCCAAAUAUCUAGACAUCUAACUAGUUUUUUUUUUUUUAUCUGCUGCUUUAAAAUUGAAGAAAAAACCAUAAAUUUGGGAUGUUAACCAAUUCGAAGCCCCUCAAUUGCCAAUGAAAAUAUAAAUGUUCGGUGUCCGUUCAAGUUAAAUUUUAUGCCGUUUGGGCUUUGCUUAAUAGUAAAAGUAUCAACGAUGGUUAUUGCCCUAUUGGUUAAGCUCCCUAACGCUGGAGUAAUGUACUGUGUUAAGGAAAAAUAUGAACCCACUGUUAUUUAGCUUAAUUACCAAUUACCUCCUAGGUCUCCUGAAAUGCCAAGAGAUCUCCAUCUGUUACAUUUAUUCCCUUAAUUCUUUUGGCGUCUUGGCAUAUUUGCCCUCGUUGAAUUUGAACGAAUUGGACCUUAUUUUUUGGUCAUGUUCUAUCGAACGCGAUUGGACCCAACUCAGCCUGAUUUCCCUCCUCCUUGAUUAGAGAAAACGGUAGGUUUCUAAAAAUGGACCCAUUUGGUAUUGUUUUUGAAUUUAUAUUUUCUGAAAAUAAAAAUGAGAAUGAAAAUAGUAUUUUAUAGUUGUUGUAUUUUGAAUUUAAGUAUGCGUCUGGUAUGAUUUUCUGUAUCCUGUAUUUUAAAAUUGAAAACAAUAAUAUGCAUUUGGUAGACACAAUUGAGAGGAUAAAAACAGUGAAUAUGUGUUCGGUAACAUCAUUUUCAAAAAUAAUUUUUACUAAAUAUUUAAGUCAUAUUUAUGAAUAAAAAGUAAUUGUUUAACUAAUACAUACACAACCAUUCCAUAAAUAGUUUAAACAAAAUAAUGAUAAAAAAUUACAUGAUAAUAAAAUUUGAGUAUCAUCAUAAAUUAAAAAAAUGGAUUUAUGAAAAGGAUGGUAACAGCUCAACACGUCUUUGAUUUUGAUUCCUUUCGCCUUCCUUCUGCGGUCUACCCCCAGUCCCCACAGAAAAUAUUUUUGCUCUUUCCCCCAAAAAAAAAUAUAUAUAUUAUUUAUGAUUUUUAAUAAACCAAUCUCCAAGCCAACGAAAUAGACACACGCAGCACGUUGUAUGAUAACAUCUCAAUCAAACAAGGCUUCCGAGAAUUAAAGUUUUGAUCGGUCUUCUUUUACCCCCACUAAAAGCACGAGGUUAAAUAAAAAUAAGGCAAUGUUGUUGGAUCAGUCCCCUGUCGAAUCUCUCACUCCACUUACUUGUUUUAAACUUUAUUUAAUUUAACAACCACCAAAUGAAAAAAGGCAAUUGUAAAUUCGUGAUUCCGUUAAACCCAGAAGCAUCCACUGUGGAGUAGCAGCAGCACCAGUCGAGACAGAGCAGAGACGCAGCACCACCAGCCGAGACGGAGCAUAGACGCAUCAGUAGCAGCAUCACCAGUUAUUCCUCAAGAGAGACGCAACAGCAGCAGCAGCACUAGUUGAUCCUUAAAAGAGAAGCCGUAGCAGCACCACUACCACCAAUCGAGAGAAGCUGGGACACGGCAACAGUCGAUUCUGGUUGAAGAACCGUGAUGGAGAAGGAGACAGCUGUGACGAAUCGUGGUUAAAGAACUCUGAGAGAGAGAGAGAUGUGAAUUUCGAUCGGGAUAAGGAGAUUAGGCUUGGGUUUUGUUUUGCAAUUUCUUUUGUGAUAUAAUUCUUUUGUUUUGCAAUUCUUCAAACAAGGUGAAGAAUAUUAGGGAUGGCAAUGGGGAGGGGACCAAUCUCCCCGUACCCAUCUCCAAUAUUUUACGUAUGUCCCCGUCCCCUCCCCGUCCCCGUCAAAAUGAUUUAAGAGAAUCCUC